ensembl:lncRNA
CCCCACCUCUCUGUGUGGUCGGGGCUGCAGAGCCUCAGUUCCCAACAGCACAAGAACCUUCUGCUCCCCGAGAUGGCUGUUGGAGUGGGGGCUGCUCAGAGCUGUGAGGCAGUGCUUGCUUUCAGCCGGAGCUGGGAGGGAGGAGCUGCACCCGUCCCCUUAAAAUUUCACACUUCAAUUCAGGUGCAAGAAAUCCCAUUCUUUCUACAAAGAACGGGUGGAAAACCAGCCUGGUCCACAGGCAACAACCAAUGCCAUGGGACUGCUGUUACAAGGACAGGACAGGUGAGGAACUUGGGUCCUGCUGGCCCCAAUAUGGGAUGCUCCCACUGCACUCUGAUCUAGCUAAGACCUGAAAACCUGACCGGAACUGAUGCACACGCACUGGAGAUUUAUGUUCUCAUGUCAGAUCGAAGAUUCGUGGCAUUUCCUGGAAGGUUACAUGAUGUUUCAUUUUCAACAAAUAAGGUCAAAAGCACAAAGAAAUAAAUAAAAAAAAGCAAUCUCUCUAGAUCAGCUGUUUGCAAACGCCGGCGGUGCAAGCCUGUGUGUUGCUGCUUGUACAGAACUGCUUUCCUGGAGCAGCGUGCUGCUGAACCCACACAGCCUGCAGCAGGAAACAGCUUCAGCUGGAACAGAGCCCUGGGAUGGGUGUGCUGCUCACCCACACGUUCAGAUUGAAUAAGAAGAGGUGCUGGAAGGGCAGAAAUUGGGCAGUCAUUGGCAUGCAGCAGCACAGACCCCUGGACACAUCCCUCCUUCUGCAGCAAUGUCACAGCUAGAGGAUCCAGGUGGGAUGUCCUGGGCUUGCAUUUCAUCCUGCAAAUCCUCCCAGCGGGACAGCCCCUGCUCCUACCCUUGAAAGCAUGUUUGCAGCUACAGCAAAUAAAAUAAGGUUAAUGAAAAGUCACUCUGGAAACACGGAAGCACAGUCAGUGCUGCUGCUGUGAUGCUUCAUUUGAGAUGCAGGGAGGUAAAAUUCUGCCUCCCACCAGGGGUGUCACUGGGGAAUAUUAUUUCUUCCUUCUCUAAAUGACAUGGCAUCGUUUCUUCUUUUCAGGUCACUGCCAACUUGGUGUCACCGUUUGAUUUUUCAGGAAAGCGUAGUCUUUACCUGACAGCGGUGGUUGCCUCCAUCCACCCUCCCACCCCCAAAACAGAGCUACAAAAAUAGAUUCACCUACAGACGAAGAGCAAAUAAAGAUGGCUCCCAGCACGUGAAUAGCUGAUGAGGAGCCACUUAGCAGACUUGGCGUAUUCAUCAGCUUCAGCACAUGAUCGUUGAUUGUGUGUCUGCAGCUCCUUUGUUCUUCUUUGCUCAUUAUAAUCGGGUCAAAUGGGAUGCACACAAACCCCUGGCGGAAAUGAUAAGAGCCAAUGGAGAUGGCCAUAACCAUGACCCAUCCCAACUGGAAAAUUACCAGUUAGGAUUUUUUACAGCCCAUCAAACGGAGCCAUUCCAUCCAGCAGUGAGAGGUAGGUCACUGCUAAUUACGGGGUGAAAUCCAGCUCUGCACAUUGCCCUGUGCCUCUCAUUAGCAGCCCGGGCUGGAAGACCCUUGCAGAAGUAGGGCAGGGUUUCAGGGUGUGCUUCUCCAGUGCAGACCGGUCCUACCUUACAAGUACACAUCUGAAGCAGUUGAGGACUCAGCUGCAGUCUGGUGUAAGGGCAGAGUGGUGUAAGGGCAGAGUGGUGUAAGGCUGCUCUGUUUUCCCUGUCUGAUCCAGCCCAGGCACUGCAGUUCUUCUGGGCCCUUCACUCCCCACUCCUCCUGGCGCUGACCCAGUAAACCAGAUAGAACAGAGCAUCCUUCUCUCUUCACUUCUGGGUCAGAGGAAAACGCUGUUAUUAGGCUACCUCUACUUUAUGGUCUUUUAAUUAUUUCCACCUCUGUGAUUAGACUAAUUAGCUAACUGGUUUGUAAUGGCUGCAUGGUAGCUCUCAUUACGUUUUCAUUAAUCACAGCAUCACUGAGUCUCGCUAAGAGUCCAGGAUUUUUUUUUUGCGUUAUGAUUUGAAAUUAUUCAAAGCAAAAGGAAUCUGAAGGGGGAAAAGAAGUCAAUAGGAACAGACGCAGUGUUCAUCAGCAUCUUGGCAGAGAGACUCUCUGGUAUAUUUAGAAAUGCUGUGAUUUACAAGAGCCCACCAGCCAUUUACUUAGCGUCUGGAAGACACGGUGAGUUUGAAGUUUCCAAUCACAGCAGUUUAAGGCACCUUCUCACCCUCUUUGAUUUGAGACAGCUGAGUGACACACUCAAAUGGGAUCAGAAAUAAAAGGACUGACAGCACAUUUCCUUCAUCCCAAGAGCUGCACCCAGCAACGCCUCAGCAUCCCUUCAUCACAUGGAGAAGUGUGGGACAAAGCAGGAAAGAGAUCUAAGAGGAGGUUAAGUUUUUGCUGCUGGAAAAACAUUACUCUGACAGCUCCCAAGGCUUUGCUAUAAAUCUUUAUCCACCAAGGCAAUUUGAUGUGCUAAAAGACUUCUUAAAAUAAUCAAAAUUAAGAACAAGGCAGCCCACAUUGGGUAGUUUAAGUACGUGCACAGGGGGACGUUCAUCACUGUGGUUAUGACAGAAGAUAAUAAUAAUAAUAAUGAGAUUUAACACCUACUUAACAGGAGAAACCCAAAAGCCUGUACAAACACCAAUCAAUUAGCUCUGCCAACCAGCUGUGUGCUGGGCAGGAUGAUGGGGGAGAAGAUAAUUGCCCAGAAAGCUGAAGAUUGCCAGCAGAGAAGGCAGAACUGUACUGCUGCUCACUGCCCUGCAGCUGCCGUGGGAGUGCUGUCAGACAUUGCUACUGCUGCCUGCACCAACACCGUGUGAAAUCCUCCAAGGAAACCUGUACAGAAGGGCAGAGCUAUGUCCUGACAUCCCGAAGACUUUGCAAGGUGUCAGAGACAUAAACCAGGGAGAAACCAAAGUAGACUUUAUACAUCAGUCCUGCUUUAGCUUCUGAGAGCUGAAAAUUGGUCAUACUCUUUACGGACGGAGGUGCUAUAGAGCCCUAUUACUGGUCGUUCUUCUUCCUUUUCAACCAUCCUCCACCUGAUCCUGGUCAGGCUGGAUAUCAGGAGAAAUUCCUACUCAGAAGGAGCAGUCAUGCAUUGGUAGAGCUGCCCAGGGAGGUGGUGGGGUCACCAUCCCUGGAGGUGUUCAAGAAAAGGGUAGAUGUGACCCAGAGGGACAUUAGUGGGCAUGGUGGGAUGGAUUGGGGUUGGACGUGAUGGCAUUAGAGGUCUUUUCCAACCUUAAUGAUUCAGUGAAAACAGUCUCCAGCUCCAUAGCAUCCUGCAGCCUGCCCUGGGAACAGUGAUACCUGCAGCUGACACUGAGCCAGAGAUAGCAGCAUCUCAGUGCUUACCCCCAGGCAGAAAGAACUCUGCACUGCACUUGCUUCUCUGUGACUGUCAGCUGCAGCCUGGGCAGAGCCAGCAGCCAGGUUCCAGGGAUGCCCAUGUGCCUCCCAUCUAUCCCAUGCCUGGCUGUGGCAUUUAAAGGCAGUGAGCACACAGCAGCAAACGCAGUGCUGCAGUGCUGUAUAAUUUUAGUGGCCGCUAAGUAACACUCGUAACUUUUUUAACACAAGGAACAAGAAUUUACAGUGCCAUUCAUGGGGGGCUGUUGUAAUUAAUUGGGGCCCUAUGUGACCCAAGGCAUUUCCCCAACCUUCUGGCACCGUGGGAUGGAUGGGAGCUGCAUGCUGUGCUCACCGCUGGCUCCUGCUUGCAGCAGGGAGGGAAGCAGCAUUCUGCAUUUCCUGAGUAUAAAAGGCUGAGGAGUCCCCGUGACAAGCAAACCAUUAAAAAGAAAAAGGAACAAUAAUGCCAAGCAAAAUAUCGCUUCGGGGAAAAAUUUUGGCUUGCUUUUAGCACAGAUGUUGAUAUUGCAUGCUCAGAAAUGGCUCUGGAAAGUGGCAACGCUUUUGCAGUGUGCUAUGAGAUGGUGCACGGAGGCAACGAGCUGUGCUUCAAGGGGAGGAAUCGGAGCAUUUGAAAAUUAAAAGAAAUAAAAAGGAAAAGCCUUCUGAAAGAGAAGUUAUGAGGAGAGCUUCCGCACACUACAGCCCCCCCAAAUUAGUCUGUGGAGAACUGUCCUACACUUCUCUGCUCCAGCGGCAGUGGGCUCUGACAGGAGGAGGAUGCAAACAACAUAUGUGGGCUCUUUGGCUCCAGGCAAAGCUCUGCCAGAGCUCCCAAGGGUAAGCCCUUACCCAUAGAGAGCAGACACCCAUCCCCUGAAUGCCUGUGAAUGCAGUGAGGCCCCCUCCUGUGCCCUGAGUGCCUCCGCAGUAUGUAAAGAGGUGUUUUUCACAUGAUGGGUGUCCUCAUUUCCAGCCCUGGAGUGCUCAGGAGGAGGGGAUCCCGGUGCCUUUCCGGGAUGAGGGAGGUGCAGGUCAUGGUGGGGUACAGUUUUUGGGCAUCCAAUGGCAGUGUGUGGCAAUGCUCGUGCAUCGUGCAGAGGUGAUUGCUUUGCACUUUGCAUAUUCCCUCUGUGCAAUGCGCUGGGAUUUUUCAUUGCAUCCAUAAUUCAUAUCCUGCUGCAGCAGUUCUAUGGAGGCAGCACAGGAUCUCAGCUCCAGCAUUAAGCAGGGAAGGAGAUGCUCUCAUCACCAGACAGCAAACCGGGCAGCUGGGGUGCAAAGAGCAUCUCUGCUCUGCACCAACUGUCCUGCAGGCAGGGAUGCAAGCAGACAGUGAGAUGAGAGUGCCAGGGGUGACUGCAGGAUGGGUAGCAGCACAGGGCUGCCUGCUUGUCCUGCCCAGCCCUGUUUUACACAUGCAUGGCAUCAUGCAGUGCCGGAUGCCGGUGCACCACUGGUUUUUGUGGUAAAAAUGCUUUCUGGCCUGGAAGGUCACAGCCUUUGCUCACAAAGCCACCCACGAUCCCUCCCAGGCUGUGAGGCUUUCUCCUGCAUCUCCACUGUAACACAUGCACUGAAAAACCCUGUUUGUCAGAAAGCAAAGUGUGUCGGGAGAUUAAAAUGUAAAUGUUGCGCUCGGCUUUUCGGAGGGGGGCUGCUGGUUUAUUUGUGACGCUGCAGGAAAUAGGUUUUUGAUAACUGCAGAACUUCUCCCCAGCCGCUGCUGCAAACAGCCAAAGCCUCAAUAAAUAACUCCUACCGUUGAACACCAACGUGCUCAUGGUCUGGAGAAGUGCUGGGAAUCAUAGAAUCAUAGAACGGCUUGGGUUGGAAGGGACCCCAAGGAUCAUCAAGUUCCAACCCCCCGCCACAGGCAGGGCCACCAACAUCCAGAUGUGUUAUUAGGGGAGCUGUGAUUGAGGUUUCCUGCCCUUCCUUGGGCUGGGAGGGGUGCUGCAGAAGGGCCCCUUAGCAGUGCUGACUAUAACCACCGUAUAUUCUGUUUUUACCAUUUAUUGGCUUGGGAAUCUGGGGAAAGGUCUCUGCGGGAGUGAUAUGUUGUACUGUGUGAGGGUCACUCGUGAGCAUCAGAAUGAGGCGCUGAAAGAGAGCGUGGAAGGGGUUUGCAGGGUUUUGGCAUCCCCAGUGGGCACGCAUUUAGAUGUGUGAACCUUGGGAUAAGGAGCUCUUGGAUCACGGCUCUCACUUUAAAACUACAGCCAGCAUCAAUAUUCAUGGCUUUAAUACCAAAAAGGAUGCAAGGCUAAAUGAAGCAGGCUUGUGUAGUACACGGAAUAACCUGAACACGACUGCUGCGUUCAGGAGCGACCAGUGAGUCAAAAAUCUCUCCCAGCAUUAAUCUGGCAAAUGAUUUCAAACAAUGGAGAUGGAUAUGAGGAAGAACAGACCCCACGCUAACAGAGCCUGAUCUGUAAACUUGGCUACUGACUUUGUAUCCCUUAUGUAAACUCGGAAGAGUAACGUAUUUAUAGCCUCUUGACGUAAGUAUCCCCUGUGAAAUAUGGGAUGCAAUAAAUAUUCUGCCAUCUCAGGAAGCCUUUAGGACCAAACAGUACCGAGAUGCUGCAAAGACAAACCCUAUGCAGCUAACGAGUGUUGGGGAGCUGCCAGCCAGCUGAAAACAUCGCAAGUGAAAGCAUGGAAACAGCCUUGCUGGUAACGCGGGGAGAGUUUUAUUGACACAGUCACAAUGCAAGGUCACUGCAUAAUGCCUUCCAGCUCUUCGUGGCACCUUAACAAAUCCCUUCCAACCAUCAGGUUGGGGUUUGGUCAGCUUUAUCCCAGCGUUUUGUUGUUGGUCAAUAAUUUCCUUCUGUUCUUUUUAUGGUGUUUUUUUUUUUUUUUUCCCUUUAUGAUGUAAAGAUGAGCUCUGGGCCCCUCUCCCUGUCCCAUGCUGCCAGCACUGCUUUUUACAGAAUUACAAAUUACGCAGCACUUCCACAUUAAAACAAAAUGAGUUCAUCACCGUUUUUAAAUAAGGAUGUCAUUUGUAAAUGCUUUAUUCAUAAUUAAUGGAAUUAUUGCUGGGUGCAGCCACAUUCCUCAUCCAUGUACUAUAAGAUCUGUUGUAAAGUGCAUUAGUAAAAAGCUUUAUAGAUGGGGAUAUGACAAGCUGACUGCACAGUAUGUUAUGGGAUGCGGUGUAGCAUUGUUGUAACAAUCUCUAUGCAAGAUUUUAAGCUAUCAGUCAGCUGGGGGCUGAUGGAUAGUGUAAAUGUUAAUAAUUAAUAAUAGGAUAAUGUUGAUAACUAAUUAAUAGUAAAUGAUGAGUAUGGAUUUUUUUAGUUAGCAUUAUGCUAAUAUGCAUUAUUCACUGAAUCAUAAAAUCAUGUUAGAGAUGAGAAAGUCUCGCUGGCUGUCUCCAGCUCUGUCACUCAUGAGUGAAUGCUGCUCUUUCAAAGCAUUUUCCAAAUGGCAAUUUUCCUCCAGCUUUCUGGCUCAAAUCACUUGGCUAAGAAGCAUUUAGAAAAAGAAACACAACGUCAGAGCUCUGCAUAACUGUGCACCAGAGUAAUGUGUAGCCACGGCCUUUGGGAUGCGCGUAGGACAAACCUACCUGCCCUAAGAGUGACCCGCUGCCUCUACAAGGAAAUCAUUCACAAUGAAGGAAUCAGCUCUGCAGAUUUCUUUCAAUCCUAUGUGGCAUCCUCCUGCAAUUUAAAGCCAUUAGGCACGCUUACCUUACAGUGAGGGUAAAGGAAGGUCCUUGGGCUGGGGAGCAACACAGGGGUUGCGUGAAGGUGGUGAUGCAGCAGAAAGUUUAGCAGAGAGCUUUAAGGGUGGCUCAACACCAUUUUCCAUUAUUUUUUUUUCAGCUGGCGUUAUCUCUUUUUCUAUGUCCUAGGCAGGAUCAAAGCCGGCUUGACAUCAUGCUGGCUGCUCAGGGGAUGGGAAAUGCCGAAGGCAGCAUCAACUCUGGGAUUUAGAGCCUUAUGCAGUCCAAUGGCCCUGGGAGGUUCCCAGCAGGGAUAUCCCCAUCUCCAGCCUCGUUGUGGCCCAUUCAUCUCAAGCUCAGGUGGGUUUCCAGAGCACUGAAUCCAUCACCUGGCUCACGUCUGUCCUCACUGGACCAAAUGGGUAGUUCUCCAUCUCUGGUUCCAAAGACUGAGAUUCUGGAUAGCUCCUUCCUGGUGCUCAGCUGAUUUGUAGAUAACCACAGCCAAAGGCAUAAAGUAUAUUGAGCACUCUGGGGUUCUCGUGUCCUUGAUGAGGAGGGAUGCUCUUGUACCUUCUUACAAAACUGGUUCCUUAAACCAUGCCCAUACCCGCCCUGGUUCCCACCCUCUGACAAUGCAUGAGCAUGUCCUAAGGACUAGUGCAAGAGCAAACCUUGGCAAGCUAACCAACGAUAGGUGAUGCUGAUGUUCUCUUGUUGAAGGAACUAAUACAGGGAGUUUUCUUUUGAAAAAUGGGAGUCCUAUGAGUUGAUCUAGCUUGCCUUUCCUAUCCCUCUUCCCUUCCCUGCCUCUCAGAUCGGGUGUUUGGCUUUUCAGCGCUUUCACUCAAGCCAAAUCUGCAAGCACAUUUUUGGGUGGAUGUCACCAGGAUCCACUUCCUCCUGGCCCACAGACAGUCUGUCUCUUAUCUCACAUUAGUAUCAAUUAUUUACAGCAGUAAUGUUAAAUCAUGAAAACGAGGUUGCAGCAAAGCUGUGCCUUGGCUAAUGCCCCAUGCUGCCUGCAGCUUUUGGAGCCCUUGCGUUGUCUGCAUUUAACCUUCCAGAGAUGUGAUCCUAGAUAUAUUCCAUAUCUCAUGGCUGCAGGUUAGAGCAGGGGCAAGGCACCCACAUCCUCCAUGGCAUUUCUCUCCUUCCUUCUACCAGUGCCAUAGCACUUCUCAUAGCCUAUCAUUUGGGGGAAAGAAGCUCCCUCUGUGUUCACUCUGAUGCCAUGAGCUCUGAGCAGCGUGCUCAUGUUGGCACACAGUCCCUCACCAACUCCUUCAACAACUGCCUGCAUAAGGGAUUUUUUUUUUUUUUUGAUUCAUAGUAUUUAACCAUGAAUAUUUAAAAUCUCUGUUAAAUAGGGUUGUUAUACAGCUUAGAACAACAUAAAUACAAGUGUCUGGGCUUUACUUUGGAUCCAGGACAGCAGAAGUGCUUUACCUCUGAUGGAAAGUGCACCACUGAGUGAGGUGACGCUCAGUCUCCUGACCUUGGAACAGUGCCUACUUUUAGACUUCCAGUAACUCAGUAUUUUUCAGCUAAAUCCCUGCUUGCACCAGAGGAGCAAUCCUUUUCUAGCUGUGCUUCAACUGCUCACCUGGCACAUUCCCGCUCUGCUAGCUGCAGUUCUGGGAAGUGAAAAGAAACCUGAGGAGGUAAAAAGAAUGAAAAAAAAAAAUGAAAUUUGGAUGUAGAUACUGUGCAGGAAGUGAGGUGACCCCUAAAUCAUAGAAUUAUGGAGUCAUAGCACCAUUAACAUUGGAAGAGACCUCUGAGAUCCCCAAGUCCAACCCCACCCCAUCCCACGGUGCCCACUGCCCACGUCCCUCAGUGCCACAUCUCCACACUUCCAGAACACCUCCAGGGACAGUGACUCCACCACCUCCCUGGGCAGCUGUGCCUCUGCAUCACUGUUCUUUCUGGAAAGAAAUUUUUCCUAAUAUCCAAUCUUAUCCUUCCCUGGUACAACUUAGACAGCUGCCUGCAUGGUCCUGUUGAGCUGAGGCAGAGCUUGCCUUGGCCAGGCCUUUCCCAUUGCUCAGGGGAUGCUGAGGCAUUGAACAAGCUCCGAGCUCAGCAGGUUCUCUGCUGUUGCUCACCCAUGGGAUUUAGGGGAGAUGCAGGUGUCCCCUACAAGGGAGGAUGGAGAACAGGAAGACUGUUUUAAUUUUGAGCUCCUGUGAGUCACUUCAUUAGCCCUGCCUCUGCUUGACCCUCCUGCUGUUAUAUCAGCCUGACUGUUUAUUUUCCUCAUAAAACUAAAACAAGAUCGAUUGCUUUGUCCCGAGGCCCUUUAUGUGUCUUGGUGCCCACUGCAGCCCUGCCGUUAGCAGCAGGCCUAAUGCAAAUUGAAUCUUUGGGAAACGGGCAGUUUGGAGCUGCCCAUCUUCCUCCUCUUUCCUGCUUAAGUUUCAUCUAUUGCAUUUAAAAUAGAAACUUUAUCUAUUUAUUCUAAACAUAAAUAUGCAAUUUUCUUGCUGUCUAUAUGUGCACGGCGUGUCUCUGUUGUAGACACAUAUAUGCGAUCAAUAACCAUCUCUUGCUGGGGAUUUAAAUAUUAGUUUUCCAAAUCCAGUCUAGAGCACCAGAUUUAUUUUUAUGAAAAUAUACCCUUUCUUGCUUAAGGAGGGAUAUUAAUUAUAGAUGCAAACCCAUAAAUCUUCCGGAUUUAGGUGAGAUAUUUGCUGGAUUAUAAAUAUGAAUUGGAGAUGAGGGUCUUGCUCUUCCUAUUAUUACUAUUAUUAUUACUUACUGGUUAUUAUUUCGGUGUGAUCAGUAUCUUCGGGUGGGUCAAAUAUUGCUGGGGAAUGGGGAGCUGAGCCUUCAGAGGGUGCGCAUGCUGAAUUCAUUAAAAUGUUUUCUAUUCCACCCUUGCUCUCCACUGCGCUUCGCAGCCCGGUGAGUCAUUAAACACCCUGUUCAGAUCACUUCCCUUUCUCUCCAUCCUUCUUUUGGUACCUGUUUUCAUUGUGCUGCUUUUGCCAGAUCAUAUCAAGCUCCCUAGUGUUUAUUAAUAAUGUCCCACAUGCUAUUGACAAUGUGCUGUUGUUUCCGAGGGUCUGCUUCAAUACCAGUCUUGGGCAGCAGUGAAACCAGCGGCCAUCAGAGAGCCCAGACUCACCCAGGGCUUUGGCACAGGUAAUAAUAUUCUGCUCCAUUUAUUAUGACAAAUGUGGGAACAAAAGUAGUGUGCCACAAGGACUGAUCCCUUCCAACUCAAAAUGUUCCAUGACUCUAUGAUAAUUGCACGUUUCUUGCUAAUUCAGUGCAAACUGAGAUAGGAGUAAGUCACAGUGAUUCUCCCAGCCUUCACCAAGUGCUCCAAAGCCAAGAGGCAUUUCUAAAUCCCAGUUAACAGGAGUUAAACGGAAGACUUCACCAAGAACCUCAGGGCUUCCUGGUUCCCUGCUGAUCCUUCAACCAUGGGAUGCAAAAGGUGAGAUGCUCGCGGGCAUUAGCAGCAGCAAGAGGCAUGGAGCAAGGCUGGUGUGCAUCAAGAGAGGUUCCUGCAGGCAGCUCUGGCAAGUGCAGCAAUGUAGGGGGCUGCUGACCAAAGGAAAGCACAUGGUGGGAUCUCAAGUUGAUUUAAUGUAACACCGUACCCUGAAAUUAAUAGGACCUUGCAUGCCAGGACUGAAAAGAUAGGGCACUGUGUAAGGUCUGCUUUUUUAAAUUAGAGUCCCCUGCUUAAAUAAAUUAAGUGAGCUGUCAGUAUAUUAAAUGAUUUAAUGCCUUCUCCAGUUUUGCAGUGGAAUCCUAAUGAAAAUACUCUUCAGUAUAAAACGCUGGAUAAAUUAAAUGGUGAAGUGUUUUAAUAAAUGGUCUGUUGUUAUGGUGAACCACAUUAAAGUAAUGUUUAUCUCUAUGGUAAUGAUGUUGCCCUAGCUUUAAAACCAUUUCUGCUGGUUCAGGCUUCUUCAGAUAAAAUAUAAACGCUGAGCUGUUGUCCAGUUUCAAAAGCAUCUGCACAGUUCCUGGACCCAAACCUGAAAUCGAUGGCAGUCGUGCUGGCUGGCCAACACAGAGCUGGAUUCAAUGGAUUCAAGAGCAGAGGACUCUUGCACAUUUGCUCUGUGAUGUCAGCAGGGGGAUGAGGCAGAGCCUCCAAGCUGCAGGGGUGAGGCCCUACACGUACAUUGGGACGAGUUUGGGUAUUAAUGAACUACAGUGGAACAGUGAGUAGGCUGUGGAGGGGCUUAAAAUCUUUGCUGAUCUCAUUGCAGGUUAAGAUAACAAAUUAUAUCUCUUUUAUAUCCUUUAUAUAAGGUAAAGGCCUGCUUUUAAAGGUAAAGACAUUACGAGAAGAUAAAGUCCCUUUUAUAUAAAUUGGUUAUAAAACAAUUUUUAUUUUCUUGCUUUUGGAUAUCAGUUCUUAUUUGACCUCUUUCACUCAUCACAGUAUUUCUUUGGAAGGAAAAUUCUCCCCUCAUGCUAUUUUCAGAGCCUGAUAACCCAGAAAUAACAUCUUAGUGCCCAAAUUAAUUUUACAUUAAUAAUAAUAGUAUUAAUAAAAUAUACCUGUUUGUCCCCAGCUGCACUGAAAGAUGUCACUGGGGCUUACAAGACAGCCCCCAGGAGAAGCCAAAGGGUAGUUCUGGAGAUGCCCAAGAGUCGUCUGCACCAAAGGCUUUUGUGAGGAACUUCCAUGAAAGGAGAAAUUCCAGCAGCUUCUGAACCACAGAGCCAUUCCUCUGGCAGAGCUGAGGUGCCCAUGAGAGUCACCACUGAGGCUGACCACGAUCCAAAAGGAGGGGGUCGUCCCACUCAGUGCUCAGGGAUGAUGUCUUAAAUACUCAUAAUUAAGGCCAUCAAGAAAUCAGGGGAGGCGAAUCCUGUUCAUGCCGUGUGGGUCUCUGAGUGUUCAUUUAAAGAGUGAUCUUUGGUGGAUCUGAGAUAUACAUAAAAACAAAACAAAAACAAAUCCAUAUGAAUUUGAAAUGGUGAAAGAUGGUGAAACUGCUUCUUAGGAAGUGGUUCUGGUGUUGGUUCUGUCCGUUUAAGAAGUUCACCUGUCCCAGCAUGAAUUUUGCAGUGUCAGCUUGCAGUUACCGGCUCUUUUUAUUGCUCUGUCUGCUCGAUUGAAGAGCUUUCCAUUUCUGUCUGUCUGAGCACAUCUGGAUUGUCAUUAAGCCAUCCCUUAACCUCCUCUUUGUUAAGCUAAGCGCACUGGGGUCCUUGAAUCUGUCACUAUAAGGCAUGUCUUGCAAUGCUUCCGUCAUUCUUGUGUGCCUCCUCGGAGCCCUCUCCCAUUCAUCAACAUCCUUCUUGAGCUGCAGACACCAGAAAUAGCUGCAGGGUCCCAGCAGAUGCUACACCAGAGGUAUUCCACUCUGCUAUUUGUUUGAGCUUCCAGCGCUGUGCUAUAGGAUCCCUCCUCCCCCUGAAUGCCAUGAAAUUCCAGUUCCCAAGUGUGGCUUUGUAUGUGCCUGUGUUGAACUGGGUGGUUUUUUCUUCAAUCUGACUCAGGAGAAGGCUGAUCCUCAGCCCCACCAUGAUCCAAAUCGAACUCAUCAGCGAACUUUGAUUGUAAUUAGUUUUGAUUUUCUACCAUUUUGCUAAAAGUGAUGAACUGAAACACAGCCACUUGUGAUGAGUGUCUGCACGCAGCCGUACAUUUAAACAUAUCAGUGGGGUUUUCAUCCGUUUAGUGCGUGCCGUGUUGAUUUUACAUUGUUUUAGCUUCCUAAUAAAUGAGACAACAUUAAGUCAAAUGCCUUGCAGAAGUCAAACGUAACAGUGUUGAUGAAAUGUACUAAAUCAAUCAAAUCUAUAAUCACAUUCUUGAAAAAUUAUAUCAAUUUCAUUUAAUAAGAUCUAUUUUCCAUUAACUCAUGUUGAUUGUAAUUAAUUAUUCUCCUUAAAUUGUUAUUAAUCAAGUCCCCUAUCAGCUCUUCCAUUAUUUCUCACAAAAUCAACAUCAGAUAAUCAGAUUUAUAAUUACGAGCGACAUUCCUACGCUGGCACAAAGUCAGCAGCACUCGGGUGUGCUGUGUUCUUGGAGUCCGGGGCACGAGUUGGAGCUGGAGGUAUUUCACACAGUCCUAUGACAUUGCUAAUUUACUUAGCUUUUCCCCCGAAAUUAGAGGAAUUAAAUAUUUAGUGUCUGCCUUCUAUGUAUUUUCUAUUUAUCAUCUGCUAUUCUGUCUAGACAACCACACUCAGCCACUGAUAUCUAAAAACCACAUCCCUACUGCUCUUGGCUCUGCAAGCAGAGGUCUCACCUGCUGGCCUUCUGCUUGCUGUUGGUUAACACAUUUUCCCUUUGUGUGAAGGUAGACCUCCCCUUCCUCCCCCCCGAGUCUCUGCUUUAACCAGAAUAACCUUCUCUCUCUGAGCGCUGAGAUUUCACUAGAUGCCCUAAAAGCCAGAGUGCUUUUAAACAACGAGUUGCCAAAUAUCACACACAUUUUCUCUUCAAAAUCCUCCAAGUGACCUGGCUUACAGUGUUGAAAAGAAAAAGUGUCUGCUAUCUGCUCAGGCUUCGUUCUGUCUGAGCCCUGCACAUAAGAUGGAAAUGGCAUCCCCUCUGUGUUGGCUGUAAGUGGUUUUUAGAGCUGCGAUCAGCUCUUCAGCUGUCAAGACCAUCCUGCAGAGAAUCCUCCUGAUUUUGGUUAACAACGGCAUUUAUAAAUUCCCAAAAUUGGCAACACAAGCCCUCCAGCUCACAGCAUUCAAGUUCAGGUUUUCCAAGACACUCUAUAGGAAUUUUCCUUAAAUGUUUCUGGUUUCUGGUGAGAUUUGAGCAGUGUCAUCCAUUGGCUUUUACUUGUACUUGAGGUCACUUUCUCUUGAGCUCCCAGUGACUUGGAUGGCAGCAAUGUCACUUCUGGUAUUGAUUGUCCCUCCUACACCUUCUUUGCCCACUCAGUUUCUUUUUUUUGCAAAUAGGUUCCAGCUAUUGAUUUUAAUAUUCCAGGCACAUGGAUUUUCUCCCCAAGUUUAAGUCAUGCUCUCCAGAUAGAAUUUGUACUCAUAAAUUAGUCGUUCCCACUCUUUUUUAUGGCUCAGCCUUCCUGCGCUACCGUAGAGGCAAUUAAAGUUCUUCUCCUCGCAUCCUUUCGUGUGUUCAUUAGCUCUCUCCUCAUCAUUUUCUUCCUUGAGCCAGAGACAGGGACGGGUGCGGAAUGAAUUCUGUUUCCUCAUUGCUUUCCAGUGCCUGUAUCUCCAACCCAGUCCAAGCAUCCCUCCCAGCAGAAAAGCUAGAGCCCAAAGAGCCAUUGGGAGCACCACAGCAGAAGGGAAAACCUUUGCUGAUCUCAGCACUGACAGGUUUUGGUGGCAAUGAGCUGAUGGUUGGACUAGAUGAUCUCAGUGGCCACUUCCAAAUUCUACAAUUCUAUGAUUUUGGGGUCAUCAUGGAUGUAGAAUGAUUCAAACUCCAUUGUGCAACAGUAUCUGAUCUCCCAAAUUCUCCUGGCAGCCAAUUCCCCAGCUCAGCCCUACUGCAACUGCUCCCCAGACACACUGAACCACAAGGAAAAGCCAUUUGGAUUGUGCUCUCUUGCUUUCAUGUCCAUGGGGGAUUUCCUGGGAUUUUGCAAGCCCCAGGGAUUGAGGGCAAAGCCAACAGAGAAGCAGACCUGUGCUUAGGGCACCUGCACAAGCUAGCCUGCAGGCUUACAGCUUCACUGUGGUUUGAGGUUUGAAGGUUUCCUAUCACCUGCUCAUCUCCUGCCUUUAUGUAACAACAAUAACAAAACACGCAAAAAUAUCCCUCAGAAAAUCCAACCGUCUUUGCUCUUGCAGGUCCUGAACUGUUUGCCUCUGAGGGCAGAACACAGACUUUGGAUGGUUUUGAGAAGUCUCCUGUCUGGGUGGUUUUAUUUAUAUCUGAUGCAUUUUAAUGCAGAAUGGGCAGAAAUGAGAUGCUUCAGAGCAAAGUCAAAGCAGAGCAGUUCUGCAGGUCCGGCCCUCGCUGGGCUCAGUGGUGGGAUGUGCUCAUCACCCCCUCUUCAAAAUAACCCCCCACGUCUCUUUUCAUCCAACAAAACAUUUAGGUGCAUAUCUGUGAGUGAAGGAGUACAAGAGAAGGAAGCAUAAGGCUGUAAAAUAAACACUCUACAAAAUGCCUCCAGGUUGCUCUAAAUUAUGCAUCCUUCCUGUUAGGAGAUGUUCAAGGUUGUCUUUUCCUGUGAACAGCGCUCCUCCUGGGUCCUCACCUUCAUUUGCUGGGAUGCCUCUGCUCUGGGCUUGCAGUUACGUCUCCUUCCCUUUCGCUGCCUUUACAACCAUUUCUUUGCCGCCUUUUAUAAUUCAGAACACGACAAAUGAAUUCCCACCUCAGCUCAGCACUCAGAUGAUGGGAAAGGGAUAAACGGUCCCUGGUAGCAGCUCAGUGCACGGUGAGCAUCACUGCAGCCCCGUGCGGUGCUUUUUCCCUGCGCACAUGCAGGACAGACGGGCGCAGGAGUGGAGCGAUGCUCACAGCCCCAGUCCCUGGUGCAGAGCUGGGAGCAUCAGUGGGGCAAACCGUGGCCAAAAACACACGGACUCUUCUGGGAAACGGCCCAACCCUCUCAUUUCUGUAAUGUGAUUGGCACAUGGCUUGGUUUUGCGUUCUGUUUCUAAAGGAUAGCUGCUAUUCUUUUUAUUAAAACCUUUAAAUUUCAUUAGUUUGCACUUACCAAAAUAAACCUGGCAUCACUAGUGAGCUCUCCUGCGGCCGUGCCAUCGAUCUGAUGCAGCCCCGCGUCACACCUGGCACGGUGACAGCCGCGUCCCUCCAUGCUGAACAGAGGCACCCGCUCUGCCUGGAGGCUGAGAGGCAUUUUCAUGGAGUUCUGUGAUGAGGAACUUUUUGCUUCCAAGGUUUCAAGGGGGAAAAAAAGAAAAAAAAAAAAAAAAAAAAAAAAAGAGAGAGAGAGAGAGAGGUUGAUUGUAAAUUUAAUUCCUGUAUCUUAGUCAUUUCUGGGCCAUGGGUCAUUAGGCACACAUUAGUGCUGCUGGGCAUUUUUCACAGGGGCUGCACCAGCAGAAAGGAGCUGGGUUUUGCAAAGCCAAGGGUGUGAGAGAGAUCCGUGUGCAUGAGAAAGCUCAGUCCUGUGCUCAGCCCCGCAGUGCUGGGAAGUUCCCCCAAAUACUCCCGGUGUCCGUCUGUCCGCAGCCAUGACAAACAGCCCGGGGAAGCAGGCUCCUUUAAUGGGCUCCAGCAUUUUAUUUAUAGCCCCUUCGAAUAAGUGCAGCUGAUACUUAAGAUCGGCGGAUUUAAUGACAGCGAGCUGGCGAAAGGCCAGGGCUGCAAAUAGCGCCGCUAAAAGUCUUCUCCGCUAUAAAAUUUGUUUAAUGCAAGAAAUCAUCCCGUGCAGGGUUUUUGCCUGGCAUUUUUAUAAUUAGCGGGUGAAAUCGCCAUUUCGCCCCUACGAUCCGCCAGCACUUUAUGGGAUGGGGCUGCCUUGGAGAUGGAUUGUUGUGCUGGAAGAGGCGCUGAAGCUUUGCCACUCCGUAUCAUCCCACUCUUCCUCGGGGACACCCAUGUAUGCCCACUCCCAGCACCUUUCCCUUCCCUCCAGGUGUCAUCUCUCCGAGGUUUGACCAAGAGCCCAUCACACUAAGUGGUAAGGCAGCACGGCUGGGAGCUGGGACCUUUGGGAUCUGUAGACAUGCACUGAAGCCACCACACUUGGUUGGUGUUUGAUAACUUCGCCGCUUUUCACUAAGGAGCCCUCAGAGAUUUCGGCCCAGCUCUCUCCUGUACAAAGAUGAACCAUGGGUGAGCCCCGGCCAGCUCUGUGAUUUAGAUUUCCCAUCGCUUGUCUGCGAGCUGGGCUGAUAUUUAUGGACAUGCUCUGGAUCGGAGGUAAAAUGCUGCAUCUUUCAUGGAAGCUGUGAGAGGUAAUUAGUAUCUGUCCUGUGGGAUGGGGCUUAAUGUUGAGACUCUUCAGGAGGGCUCUCGGUGUUCAAAGACUUAGCACCUUGCUGAACUGGGAUCUGAAUUCACAGGAUGCAUUAAAGCAUAAUUUAAGGAUGAAAAAAGGUGGAGGAAAGAUAAUAAUUAGGUGGAUUGUGCCCUUGUGAGACACCGCAUCCCUAUUUCCAAGUAAAAACUGCGUGUAAGAGAGGCACUGUGCUGGCUGCAGGUGUCUCCAGACCUUGAAAGGUCUUGGAACAAAACUCCUGGAGGGCUGACCCCCAUGGGACUGAGACUUGCAGCUUGAGAUCCCUCAUUUCAGGUCAUGGCUCCUUCUGCUUCUCUUAGCGAAUGUCAUAAAUACAGAGGCUUUGCCCCAAAAUUAUAUGCACAGAAAUGGAGGACUAUUUGAGGGCGUGAAAUAACCUGAGUUUUUCUGGCCCAGACGACUAAUUGCACAUUAUUCACCCAGUUCUGGUAGGGUGUCCGUUUUGCUGGACUAAACCCCAUCAUAUAAUAACCUCUUAGCCUACUGGGCUCAUCUCCAGAGCUCAAAGCUCUUCCGUUUCCUUGCCUCUCUUCUACCACUUAUUUAAUUUAUUUCCCAAAAAAUACUGAAAUAAAAGGAUUUUUAAACCAGAAUAGGACAGGACUCUUUCUUUGCAGUGCACAGUUUGCUGGGUAUGGAUGGAGAACCUGAACUAUUGUCAAGAAUGCCACUCAAAUUACAAUAUAAUUGUCUGGGGAAAAAAAAAAAGUUCUGGCAGCUAAUUCUGAUUGCAGUGCACAUUUCUGUGCCUGUGACAAAUGAUUUCUAAAGUUAGCCUCAAGGACACCGAGCUUCCAAGAGGUCACCCAUCCACACUGUUUAUUUUACUUGCCAUCCUAAAAUAAGUUUUAAAAAGUGAAAUUAACAGCGAAGGGAAAGAAGGAAGAAAACUGUUGAUGGUGGGGAGAAGAUUGAAGUGUUUUGUUUUAAAAGGAGCGAUGCUCGGGGCCAUAAAAUAUGAAAUACAGGGGGGGAAGCAGAUUUGGGGCUAACCUACAAUAUCGCAUUAGGCUUUAAAGCCGUUCCAACAGACUAAGCAUUUGAGAAAGAAUUGGAGCUGCUUGUGAUAAGUUGCUCCUCUUAUCGGCAAACUGUCAUCUGUCUUGGGAGAGAACAUUUUGUCCACCCUACCAAAACAAGUCAGAAAAAUUGGAUAAAAACAAAAAUAUAAAUCAGAAUGGGAACUGGGAGCCGAACUGAAAUGAUGGCAAUUUCCUGGCAAGGCUCGCUGGACGGCUAAAUGUCAGACGUGACAGCAGGAAUUAUCCCUGCGAUGCGGGGUCAGGAGCGAUGUGUGCGGGUGGUGGGCAGAGCACGGCCACUGCGGGACACGGCCUCAGGUUGGGAGGGCUGUGCAUGGGGUGGCACAGGGGUCUCAGGGGAAGCAAAAUAUGCAGGGGACAUGGGCACAGUGUGGAGGCAGCCCCUUGGAAUCUGAGCUGAGAGGCGAGGUGGGCUAUCCAUAACUGCCCGAGCAUUGAUUGGCGGUGCUGGCACUGCCCAGAGCUUGGGGUGUGCAUCAGAAUGAGAAGGGAAGCAGCAGGGCCCUGGGACAUCACCAUGGGGAUGGUGGGAUCCAAACCUGCCCUGCCCCACAGAUGUGCCUGAGUGCUUUUCUCCUUCACUGAAUGCCAUUGUCCCCCAGCAGCAGCCAGGCUGAUAUCACCGGAGGCAAGACCUGAAUCAGACGCGGAGAAAUCAGCUAUUUAAAUGCACCGGAGUUGCUGCGCUCCCAUUAAACCCCAAGAAACCCAAUUGCAGUUUGGAGAUAGAGGUACAGCGAGAGGAGGUGUGGGACACACUUCUGCACAGUCACCUAAUGGGAAAAGACAGAGCCUGGGCAGAAGUGAGUGAUAAAGGAAUGGCGAUGUCCAAGGCUUGCACAGCUCAGUGCUGCAGCAGCACCUAUGAGAGCAAGCAAAGGAAGAGAUGCUGUCUCUGGCAAGGGAGCAGCUGAAGAACUGCUGUCCUGUACUUUAGAUUUGAAAAGUAUAUAUAGUUUUAAUUAUUAAUGACACAUCAGUUUGAUACACGUGACAAUGAGGCAGCAGAGAUGCUCCAUAGUUUUGCAUGGGGUUUGUGGCUGCUCGUGCAAACCCACAUGAACGAGCAAUAUCCGAGCCUUUGCUUCAGCUCAGCUCAGAGCAAAGUGUCCCAGCACACAGGACUGCCUUGCCAGGUGCUGACAGCCCUCCCGCAUGCACACAACCAGUGCCUUGCUCAGAAAGACUGGAGGAGGGGGAGUGGAAUGAGGGUCAGCAAUUUGCUCCCUGUUGGAAAUAUCCCAACAGCAAGGAUAUCGAAGCUGACCUUUAAGCAGAAGCUGACGAAAAGCUGCUACAAAUUAAUCUCUUAACAUUUUAAUUUAAUGCACGUUUUGUUCCAAGAACAGGGGUGACCCAGGAAAGGGUUAAUCCGAGCUGUGCACCUAGCACAUCCACACCAGAUUUGCAGCAGUGUGGGUAUAUACAUGCAUUUCUAUCACAUACACAGGUAUUUCUUUAUCAGAGGCAUGUGGGCUGGACAGCAGAUGGGCUCUCCUCUCACCACGGUGGGGUGUGGGAUGCCACACAAAUUCCAUCAGGGCGACCUGCAGCCCAUCAGCAUUGCAGCAUCACAGGGAGCCCCAUGGGAGCAGGGACACUUCCCAGCAUCACUCAGAGCCACUUCAUUGGCUUCUUUAUUUUUAUUCUUUUUCAUGUUGUGAUGCCCUAACGUCAUUGUUGGUGGGAAAGAGCUGAAAAACAGACAGGUUCUGACCAGUCCCUCUCUGCCACCAGUCUCACAGCAUAACCGAACUGCUUUAGUUGCACUUAAUUGUGCUGUUUGUUUGUUUCCAUGUUGUCAUCAGACAAUAAAUCCAAAGCAAUCACUGUCCAAAUUUUUACAGUAUUCCCAAAGGGAAUGUCAAUUACCUUUCCCUCCCAGCACCGCUGACCUCUGCCACAUACAAAUCCCACUUUUAUUCGGAGAAAUGCAGCCACUUGCUCCAAUUAUUCAGCCUGCACUCUGAGGUGAGCAUAAAAAAAGAGUGUUCAGCAGGUACAUCCAGAAAGGGCUGGCUUAAAUCAGUAUGGCUGUGACCCAAGGCAUGAAAUACAGCCCCUCACACACAGCCUAUGUGUACGGAAGGUUAGCUGGAGGAGUGGGACGUUGCUUCAAAACAACCCUGGAGGCCUCAGUUUGUGUGAAAUCUCCAUCUGAGGGAUUACUUCUGUUGCUGAGGAUUUGCCUGUAGAAAACCUUGCCAUGACCCUUGGGUCAGGGGCAGCCUCGGAGCCCAUCAAGGGAUGCAGGAGGGAUGGUGAAGUGGCACCCUCAGUUUCCAAAGGGGAAAUGCAGUUUGGGACAGGAGGAGGGUGGAGGAGAGAAGGCUUCCUCCUCUUGCUCUUCGUUUCCUGCAGGGCCCAGGGGACCUCCUGGUGGGGCAUGACACAGGGAAUUGCCCAGGGAAGGAAUAGCUUCAGGUGAUGUUCCUCUCAGCAGCUGCCCUCCUCGUGCUUCACAUCGCUCCAUCCCUGCCUGGCCUUCUCUGUGUGCUGCCAAGCUUCCUCCGCAUUUAGAUGCCAGCCCACCUCUAUUCUCCACCCAUCUCCUUGGAUCAGCCACCUCAACCACAGAGCCCUGUCAGGGUGCCAGCAGGUGCAGGUUGGUGGAUGGAUUGGUGAUGGGCUUGAGAGUGGAUACGAGGGAUGCCUUUCAGGAGCAUAUCCACACAUCUUGUGUCUGGAGGGCAGCCCCAGUGUGCUGAGGACCCUUCCUCAGCUCUGAGUGCUGUGCUAUUUGAGAAUCUGAAAUCUCACUGUGCUCUUCUCUACCAUCCUCUCUUUGUGUCUCCUCUCAGGACCUCCCCAUGGCAGUGGGCAGCAUCACCACCCCAUCCCUGGACAGCCACGAGCCACACAGGAUUUCUGCCUGAAUUAACCUUCAUUAUUCAAAUCCCACCCAGAACACGGGUAGUGGUACCGACUCAGUAAGAUGAGAAUGCUUUUGUAGAAACGUCCCUGCCAAGAGCAAGUUACCCUUGGGCAGGGAGAUAGGGUUUUGUGAUUGCAGUUUUUUGUAUGGAUGAUGUCCUUGCCUGUCUCAGAGAGGCUCACUGUAAAGGCUCAGAGGUUGGGUGCCAUUGCUCUGCAGUACAUGGGCAUGUCCAACCCACAGCCCCACGAGCUGCAGAUAGAUGAGGAGGGUAAUGUAAUUCCAUCUUUGGAAAUGUCAGACUUUAUGGAUGAAUAAAAUACAUUCCAUUUUCUUCUGUUUAUCAAUAUCGGGUGAGAACAGACUAGAAAUUGCUUAUAAAUGGAUAGCAUCAGGAGAGAGGCCAUCUAUUUGUUAUCUAUAGCAGAAGCUGAGCACUGAUCCUACUGUGGCAGCCACAGGUCAUAGAAUCAAAGAAUCACAGAAUAUCCUGAGUCAGAAGGGACCCAUGAGGAUCACUGAGUCCAGCCCCAUCACCUCUGCAUAGAAUACAAUAAAUGACUAAAAUAGAAAAGCGAGGCAUGGAUAGAAGAAAGAGCAACGUCGGGUUCUCCUCCGUUCAGCCAAUAAUUCUGACUACACAGUGUUUAACGUUUGGUGAUGCCAUGUACUGGUUUUUCCAUAAGAUGGUCUCAAAGCCGCUGUGUGCUCUGAGUUUCGAUGGGAAAUCCACGGUGCCAUGUGAGGGUGGGCUCCCCAGAGCUCCAUGGGGUGUGCAGGAGGGAUACAGUCCCCAACAGCACCAUAACGGUUAAAGGAGAGAUUUCAGGAAGGGGAACAGAACAGCAGAGAGUGAACUUUGCAGAUAAAUUAUAGCUAAAGAGGAAUGAAACAUUAUAGUUUCAAUUACUGCUGUGCCCAGCCACGCAGGUAGUAAUUCAAACAAGAAACAAUUGGCGGAUUGUCACCCUCAAAUCAGACACAUACCAUUUAAUUCCAUUUACUGAGGGUUCACUGACUGUAUUUUGAAUCAAAUACAGCCAUUAAUGUGCAAAGAUCUGAAAAAUGCAUGUGUCCCUUUUACAAAUGUGACAAUGAGACGCUAAUUCCUGUAAAGCCCUUUUUUCUUCAGGUUGGACUGCUCCUAUUGCCUUUAGUUAUGCAGAUAUUACUUAUUAAGAGUUUUAAUAUGUCAGGCUGGUUCUUUUGAAAUGCCUUGUGCCUUUUUGUUCAGAGCGUGCGGAAAGCGCAGCUAAAUCCAUUCUUACGUUCCAUCAUCCAAACUUAGCAAAUUGAUUCGAAUGCAGGAAAAAAAAAAGCUACUUUCAUUAAAACAAUUAAAUCCUUACUAUUAUUGCUGUAUCUGGCUAUUACAGCACAAAUAUAAAUCAUCGGUUACAGGAGCUAAAAGCUUUCAGCUGGAAUUGCUCUACCGUCUGCCCCAUGCCAUGGGCAGGGAGGAAGGAUGACGUGCACCAGGCUUCUUUACGGGAGAUGCUGCUGCCUAAAUAAAAAAGUCAAGUCCAUAAAGUGAAUAUUAUUGUGCUACCUUGUUUCUCCCCAGCAGUGAAGCAAUGCAUGCCAAUGGGCAGAGCGAAUAGGAGGAAAUAGUUGGGUUGGUUUUCCCGCUCCUCGUGAAUUGGGGGACAUUUUGGAAGGGGCACAAAGGUUUCGGGGGCAGUUGAGUGCUUUUGUUUUCCUUUUCUAAAUAAACCACGGAUCUGCACUGCCACACACUCCCCGUGGGGUCACGAAGUGUGCUGCAGAAUAAAAACGGAGCUUUCUGUGAUAGUGCACUUGCCCUUCAGAGCCGCUUGGAUUGCAUCAAAGGGCAAAUUGUUUAAAUAUAAUUUUCCUGAUUACUGAAUAGGUCGACCGAACAGGAUAUGAAAUGCAAAGGCUUUUCUCAUCUUGCUCUUUGCAUCAUCCUAGGGCACACCUCGCUACAGGUGCUGCCUGUUGGCUCAAGGACACUUCCAGGCGGCAGAAUAUCAAAGGAGCAGGGAUGGACAGCCCAGUGCAUCCUGCACAUUUUAAAUUGCUUAAAAAGACUCUUUUGCAAAGGGAGUCUGAGGCAGGGACCGAAAUCAGUGCUCAGCAUGUGGAUUAGACAAACAGAGUGGUCAUUAGCGCUGAUUGUCAUUGUCACACAAGCACAGACUGUUAAUUCAGCCCAGGAGUCAUUAGAAACGAGCCUCAGCGGGGAGAGGGGUUGGUGUUGGUGUAGAUGCUGGAUGGUGGCUCUGCUGGCUUGGCAGAACAUGAAGGAGACCCCUGAGAUCCUACACUGCUCCGGUUGUAAAUUCCAAAUGGAAACUCCCAGGAAUUUGCCAGGAAAAGGAUAAUCACUCAUUAUUCUCAUUUGUGGAAAGCUGUUUAAACCCAGCCCUGCUUUUCUCACCCCAUUCCCAAGCUGAGCUCAUCACCUUUCUGAGAAGCCACGCUCUUCCAGGACAGUGUCUCCUCUUCCAGUGAGCUUUUGCCCUGGCUUUUCUCCUGGGUCCAUUUGGGAGGGUUCCAUCUUUGCCCCAGUGCUUUUGCCAGUGGCUGCCACCAUCCAGAGAGAUAUUCAGCCUCAAGGAGUCCCCAGCAAAGAGCACCCACUGCCUUCCAGCCUCACCCCAGCAGCAGCGUUGAGGUCCCACAGCUGCAGAGCAGCGCCCGUUGUGCUGUGCGGGUGCCCCUUUAUUGGAGUUCCUCCCACCACGUGCUUGUAAUUUAUUUGUAUUUCCAGCAGAGAUAAUUGAGUUAUCAAUUCUGUGCUCUUUUGGGCCAGAAGCAAAGAGAUCAGAGAGCUGUUUUAUACACCUAAUUAUAGAUUAUUUCCCAUAGCUAUAAAACCACAGAGGGACAGAUCCAGAGAGCAUCCUUUUCAUCUCCACUGACUUUUGCCUUUGCUCUCUCAGACUCGGAUCAGAAGGGCCUCCAGACAAAACAGUUGUCAAAAGCAAGGGCUCCUUAUCUCCUCACAGGACAAAACCUCUCGGCAUCCCAGUAGAGACCGUGCACAGUUGCUUAAAGAUCAAAUUCAACUUAUACUUAACCAAUCUGCUUAAGCCUUUAGCACCUCAUUGAGUCGUGCUGAGAUUUAUUCCGUUUCUGCACACUUUGGCUAUAAUCUGGUUCAUGACAAUGGCCUGGGGGUCUGCUGAGGAUGUAAAAAAUUGAUUUUCUUUGCCACAUGCAGGCUUUGUGGGCUUGCAUUUGGCAUGGCCCCUCAUGCCCCUGCUAGCUCCUAUGCUCAGCCUGCUCCCUCCUCCCCAGGCAGCUCUGAGCACCCUGCAGCAUCCGCAGAUCCCGCAGAGCUGCAGUGCAGAGCAGGGGUUGAGGUCCGGCAUACCCGAAUUUUCUAUGUAUGGAAAGAAAUGGGAAGUGUCCGUGCGUCGGUGUUAAGUUUCUGGUGGUGACACGCAGAGGCCAUCCGAGAUGUAUGACCUAGCAAAUGUAUUGUAACGCACACAUCACAUUCGUUCUCUGGGUAAAUAGAUAUUGUCUAGGGUACAUUACAUCUGUGCCUUCGUGUUUAAUUUAAUGUAAGUGAACUGCCUUAAUUUCUCCAAAUUGUAGUAAUAAACAUAACGUUAACGGUGAUACUGCUAAUAAUUUAUUUUGCAAGCGAUUAAUCAACAACAAACUCUUUUAAUUACCUGUUCUGAAAUGUCAAACUCUAAACUAAUUACAUGUUAUUACAUGAAUUCAUGUAUAUGUAUACACAAAUACGAAUUCCAAGGGUAAUUAAAAUGAAUAAACCAUCAGAUUUGGUAAAAUCAUGCAGCUGAGAGAAGUUUGCUCUCCACUGCAUUUCUGCCUCUUUGCAUUUCAUCCUCAGCACAAAGGGAGCUAGAUUCCAAGGCUCUGAGCGAGUCGUUUGUGCUUCUGCAAAAAAAUAUUACCCACAGAAAGUGGCAAACCCCGUGGGAUCUAUGCUGAGAACCACAAGGAAGAGAGGAAAGCAGCUGUGCUGCUCUGCUGGGGGGAGUACAGAGUGUGGGGCUCAUUUGGGUGCUCCCUGUGCAGGGGGUGAAACCAAGCAGGACAGAAGUGGGUGGUGUACAUUUGCUGUACUCAAUAAUUGGCAACGAUUUUUGGAAGGAGAUUGGGGGUGAAAUUAACAGAUUUGGGGCACGACCAAAUCUGUUCUCCAUUUUGUGUCCUUGUUGAGUCUCUCAGUGCAGGCACAACACAGUGCUCUUUGCAACACCCUGGUGACCCCUAGAUGAGACUUGGAAGACCACUUCUUUGCACUGGCACUCCAGACAUCAUGGCCAAGUGCCCCCAGCAAUGUGGGGCUGUAUGCCAGUGGGUCACGAAAGGAUGGAGACCACCAGCUUGGAGGGUCUGGGAAUGAAGCCUUUAAUUCAGGGGUGGACACUGAGGCAGUCCCAAUGGCUUGCAGCAUGGGCUGGAAGAACAGGAUGAUUAAUGAGAGCAAUGGCACGAAGGAGCCAGGAACUAAGUAAUGAGACCUUUAUUUGAUACAUAAUACAGCCGGGGCCCUCUAUAAAGAGAAUACCAAGAGUAGGGCUAAGUUUCACAGUUCUGGGAAUGUAUCAGGAAGGGGGAAAGCUUUGCUGACUUUGCAGCCAAACGCCUGGGCCAUCCGCAAGUGUUGUUCGCAGUGAGCUUGGGACAUGUUAAUUUGGUCAUAUAUCUUCAGAUGGUGGCAAGAUGCCCUGACUUUUGAUUUACUGUGCUGAGUGGGUCUGUGUGAUGUUGUGGGUUUAAAAUGAGGUGUCCAGAGCCUGAUUCAGUCACAGGAUCACUGAAUUCCAGCUGGGAGAUGAAGAAGCCGUUAUACACACACAACAAGAACUUCCAGCCAAAAAUUACUUAUGGUUUCAAUUAAAGGAGAAGAAGUUGCUGAUUGUUUAGGUAUGGAUGUCAGAAACACAGCAGUUAACAGCAGAGAUGAAUGAGAGAUAGUGAGGUGAUAACUUAGAUAAAUUGGUAUCUCAUCCAUAUUAAGGAGACAGCUCAUCCUCUGGUGCUGCUGGAUGACAUGAAGAGUGGAGUGUAUAUGGAUACUAAAAAACGUUGGUCUUAAAGUUAAAUCCCCAAGAACCAUCAGAAAUAAGUCUCAGAAGCCAAAGUGAGAUCUGAUGCACGCUGCAAAAAUAUGCAGUCUGUCAGGGAACGCUGCUCUCUCCAUAUAACUUCCACCGUUUGUGGGACAAUUAUAGAGAAAAUGAUACUGUGAUCUGUAAAGCAGUUCCUGCAGUGGUUUUAUUCACUAACUCGAUGCCACGCAUAAUCAUAGCCAGUAACAUCUCCAGAGGUGUGUGCAUAAUAGAGAGACAUCAAGUCAAUGAGUCAAAACAUCAGAAAAUAAAAUUCAGAUGAACAUCACUUGCAGAAAUUCUAUCAUCUGUCAUUUAACGCUGUCUGAAGACCUCCACGUUGAAAUAAGGCGUGGAAACCAGAAGUUACCCCAGGCAGCAGUCCUUAGGACCUGCACGGACUCAGGGCUUUCUGCAAGUUGGGUUGAGUGCCAAAGAAGUUCUCUUGCGAUCUUAAAACUCAAGCACCCAAAAAACACCAUAGAGGGGAAGGCAGGGAGCAGGGAGGAUCUGUCCUGCCGUGUCCCCACCUCAGAUCCUGCCCAGCAUCACCCAAGCAGCCGCUGCUGGGAGCGGAGUUGCUCCUGGAUCACCUUAAGGCUAUUUGCAGCUCUUGCUGAUGCCCUUUCAAUACCCAAUCCCGAAACUUUUCAUGCGAGGAAGCUUGCAGGAUGACAGAUUGCACCUUAAAACAAAGAGGUAAUAGCUCUUAGGUCCAGAUCUGUUCUUGGAACUAAAUUCACUGCAGAAGAAGUGUUUCUGCACAACUGCAUAAUGCCUCAAAGUGGCAUUUUACAAUCUUUAAAUUCCAACACCGAUGAAGAAUUCUGCUUUAAACUACUGCAGCAGCCCAGCCCCCCUUUAUUUAUGAGUAAUAGGCUUUUCAUUUAGAUUUAACUACAGAUUCGAGUGGUUUCCAUGUGCCAGGGCUCGGAGUCACACCAGUGUCUCCUGAGGUGGCCGUGCUGUUUCCACAGAGUCACUCAGGAUCCCCACCAAACCUGUCUUUGCAUACAUACGUGUGUAUUUUAUAUAGAUGUACACAUGCACUUCAUUUUUAAAAAGACAAAGUUUUUAUUCCAGGCUUCAUUUUCCUUUAAACCGUAUGAAGCCAAAGUUCGAAAGGAUGACCCCAAAAUUGCCAGUUUGAUUGUAAUUUCCCCCAAAAGAUUUUGGGUUGUAGGUACAUAGAGAACGAUGGCUUUGCUUCCCCCUUUCUGCUCAUCAUCCCAUGCAACGCUGAUGUGCCAGGAAGCGUGGAUGGGAUCAGGGAGCUUGGUGAGUUUGCCACAUCAGUAGUCACUGAGAGUGCCUGAAGUUUCAUUUUUCAAUGGAAAGCUGCAGUGAAACGAGUAUUUUGCUACUCAUCUUGUUAUUAUUCAUCAGUGCUUCCAAGCACCUCUCAGCCCUUUGUUUCUUGGGAAAGGCAUGGUGCUUAAAGGGGCUGAAAGGUGGAUUUUGUGGAAAGCCCAACCCACAUCUUUGAUCCCAGCGGUUUUGUAAAGCAUUCGUUUUGCUCGCUGGGAAAAUCUCUGCCCUCCCCACUCCCUCACCUCCCCCUCUUUCCCCUCCACCUAAGUUACCUCGUCUGGAUCCGAAGGAACGCUUGCCAUCCUUUGAAGAGGUAGUCUCGUCCGAAAAAUCAAUAGUCAACAUUGUCUUUAAAUAGUCUGACAUUUACCUUUACAGCAGUUUUCAUUUCUUUCCCAGAUUGCUCAGACGUUUGUAUUACCCACACACUACAUCCCUGAUCUCUCGGCCGGGAGCUUUGCACGGAUGCAGCCCCGGUGCUGCAGAGCGGCCACCAGCAAGGAACUGCAGCACGAUAAUUAACAGGACGGGAGCUCACUAAUAGAAGCAUCUUUAACUAAUUUAUGGAAGACAUCAGGUGAGAAUAAUUACAAGCAGAAGGGUAUUGUAAAUCCCUGAAGAAAAUACACUUGGAAUGCAGUUUUCCCAACAAGCAAAUCUGAAUGCUAGCCCAAAGGUCAGAAAUAAAAAGGCUGAGAGCUUCAGCUCCCCGAGCAGGCACCUCUCCGAUCCCUUCUUGUCAAGAAAUUGUCUGGGGGUUCAUUUAGAAAGCUGCUUGUUCAGGGCAGGGCCAUUUGCAAUCUGGGAAAGUUAAGCAAAUUAGCAGAAUUAUUAGGUAAGAGGCAAUUCUCCACAGCCUGCAAGGCAACCGCUUGUUAAAUGAGCUCACACCAGAGAGUUGCACUGAUCGAGUGGUGUUUGCAGAGACGGGGCUGUGCAGGCAUUUGCUCUGAAAUAAUACUGCUGUAUUCCCCUGGAAAAAUUAAAAAAAAAUGGGAAUUUGUGCAGGCUGAGCUGGAAGAUGCCUCUGUCUUCCAUACGCAUUCCUGCUUCUCUGCUCCUUCUGCUAUAAUAAAUAUCAUAAUCCUAGCAAAUGAGAGAAGGAGAUUAACCCGACACCUUUAACCCAGUUACUGCUUAAAAUAGGGAGCAGUGUGGUGCCACGAGGCCCCAAAGCAGGUGGCUCUGCACCCGCUGUCCCCUGGGGCUCAUAGGGACAGCUGUGCACUGCAGCCCCGCUGCUCUGUGCAGUGUUGGGAGUGGGAUCCAACUCAGGUCCUGCAAGGAGCCCACCCAAGGGUGGCUCACACUGCUCACUUGUUUUUAUAUACUCUUUGCCUAUUGAUUUGAUAUUUUUAUACCUUAUACAGUGCACUUAGCACAGAAAAAAAAAAAUGGAUUAACCAAGUAAAUGUGCUUUAUUAGCGGAUCUCUGAUGGAGAAUGAUGUCGGUUUUCCAUUUAAAAGAUGCAUCGGAUUCAUCCACUCAUGAAUCAAUUAGUUCAUGCUUGAGGACCUCCUAACAUGCCACAUAAAAAACUCCCAAUGUCAAACUGCACGCUGGGUGGAACAACCAAGGGUUUCAAAUGAAAAAAGUGCAUCACUGGGAAACCUUUGGCUCUUCCACCACCACUAGGAUGGAAGCACUCUGCCCAACUCUUAGUUAACACAUUCUUUCUGUUCCUUGGUUUCUUAAAAUCUUUCUUUUUUUCAAGUUUUUAUUGACAGCUUUACACUCCUCCCUCUGCUAUACAAUGGAGACGGGCACAUAUCGUAAGCCUUUCCAAUGGUAGUUUUGGGGUCAGGCUGAUUAGAUUUGGGAAGUGUCAAUUGUUGAAUGCUGUCCUCCUUCUGUCUGAGACUAACAACUCUCCCUACUCAGAGGGUUGGCCCUCUUUCUGUCCUUCCUGAGGUUUAGGGCUCAUUGGUCCAUGCUCCACACCAUGAAAAGGCACAUACACUUUCCUAGUGAUUCACAUUUCUGCUUAGAUAAGAACCAACAGGCUCCAUCCCACCCUGGAGCCCCUGGGACUAUGUGGAAGGUCGCAGUGUUUAUUUUUGGUCUUGUCCAAUUAAAGACAAUGACCUGGAGUAGAUGAGAUGCCUGGGCAUGCAUUCAUAUCACAGGCAUAAUGCAAGAACCGUAGGCAUUUAAAUGGGAAUUCUUUCUCACCCGGUUAGACCGAUGCGUAAGGAAAUAAUCCAAGUGGGGCAUUGACAAGAUAUUUUUUGUUGUAAGUCUGCAUGCUAAAACCCCUAAAUAAAAGGAUUUUACUCCUUGAGAGAAAGAGGAAAGGCUAUGCACACCCAGCCUGAGGUGUCACUACAACUCAAUGGGAGCAAUGCACGAGCACUGAGCUGCUGGGAUGGCUGCCUGCACAUUGGGUGCCCACACUAUGUACAGAGCAGAGGGCACUGCUUAAACCUCAGUCAAAUAAGUAAACAUGGACAAGGAAGUAAAAACAGACGCACUUUUUUCUCAUUGCUGCGAAGAAUUCAGGCCAUGCAAGCACCAGGGCUGUGCAAAGAAGAGCAACUAUGUUUAAGAGCAUCCUUCUCUCUCUUGGAUGUACAUCCAACAGCAGAUAACAUCACCCAGCCCUUUCUGCUUUUGGAAACCAUGUGCAGCACAACUUGCUGCUCACAUUUAAUCCAAACUGAUGUCCUACGGCUGUCAUAUGCAUGAUUAUGGCAGUCGUUUUUAAUUAGUGAUUGUGUCAAUAGUAUUGACAUUUUCAUCACUUUUGGGGGAAGUAGAGAAUAUUUUCCAGCAGGUGAAGUCCCCUCUUUGCAGUUCUCUUCCCCUCCAGCUGCACCUACUGGAUAAAUGAGCUAUGCAUCUUAUUAAAAAGAAAGCAAGAGCAUUAAGUCUGUUCUCUGCUUAAGUACAUUACAGCAACUUAGGCAACACGAAACUCAAGAAAGGCAGAAAAGCAAAUACCCUCUGUCCUAUGGCAAGAUUUACAAUCUUGUUCUGAGUGCAAUAUUUAUUAUACGGCUUAACAGAAGCUCUGGCAGGAUGGGGGAAAUGCUGGCGGCCCCGUGACAAGGAGGAGGCGUUCAAUAGCUUGCUGGGAAGUGGAGUUGGACACGAACUGAUCAACCAGCCAUUACACUCAGUGAUAAACACCCUGCAGGAGCCAUCAUUCACCCAGGAAGAAAGAGGAAGGCAGAUCAUUACAUUUAUUGGUCAUAGUUUUUAAAGAGUCAAUAAAGACCCACUAGAAAAGACACGGUUAGGAGCAGGAAUAUAUAUAUUUUUUUCAUGUAUCUUGAAAAUACCUUCAGCUCAGUUUGCUUUCUGCCCAAUACGUCAGGGUGAAUCUUCAUCCUAGGUGAUGGUCCCAGUGUAGACGGUGCUCAUAUUGUACAGUUUUUAAUGUCUUUAACCAUCUUUAGCUUUGUACCCUGAUAGCCCCUCCAGGCUAUAUGUCAAUGCCAUCUGGGAGUAAAAGAAGAGACUUCUGCUCAAGUAACGCUGUAAUGUAGAUCUCUCGACUAAAAUUGCACUUCCUUCACUUGACAAACUGUCAGCACAGAACAAUUAUCUGCCUGUUGGUUUGCUUGUCUUUUCUUUUUUUCUCCUCUCAGAAAAAAGAAAAAAAAAGAAAAAAGAAGAAGAAAAAAAAAACCAUACAAAGGAAAAGGACCUGCAGAGUAAAAUGCCGUGGGCAAAAUCCACAUAAUCUGAUUGCUGCGCCCAGAGAUGCAUUGGUGGACCACCAAAGGUAAAAGUGGGUCUAAUGCUAAAGGAGAGGGACAAUUUCUAGCUCCUUUCUUUCGGGGAUUUCCAGAGAGGAUAUUGCUAAAUAGAAGAUUAGGGAGGAAGAGGCAAGAGUCAUUAGACCCCUCUGCUUGUCUUGAGGGAGAAACCAAAACAGGCUGGAAGAGUCCAAAGCUUGUGUCCUGCUCAACAAGCUGAAGGAACCAUUUGAUUUUUCUCUCCUGGUAAGAAAGGAUGAGGAUGAUGUCUUUAGGGAAGAGAGCCAACCUGAUUUUUUGCUAGCCAUCUUGGUGUUAAUGGGACCGUGCAGUUCAUUUGGAGAAUACCCACAAAGCAUGAGUAGAGCCCCAAGAGGUGUAAUCUAAAUUAGUGGGUAAAUUUAUUUGUGCACUUUUUUUUUACUGUUUUAUUUUCCUUCUUCCCUUCUGUACCACCUCUUUUGCCACCUCCUCUGCCUCACUUGACAGAUGAAUGUGUUCAGGUCUUUGGGACAGAUAAUGUGUCUGUAUCCCUUUUAAAAGUCCUGUACAAACACUAUGGAUAUGAGAGUGCAGGUGUAUUUAGUCUGGUGUGUUUAGCAGAUUUAGAUUAUGAAUUACUGCUCAAAAUAACGUUUGCAUUUGCUGACAAAGGUCUUUAUUACAGAAGAGGUCAAGAAAAAAAGAUUAUUCCUGCUAAUUAUCCACUGCUAUUUAAUAUUUGCACAAAAGGUUUGCAAGACAGAGUCCUCAGCAUUGCUUUGUUUGAGAAGCUAAUAGGGUUUCUAGGAAACCAGCAGGGUCUGGAGGGCCAUCAGAUCAGCCUGUUAGUGGCUAUGAAGGACAAUUAGGCCUGAUGGAGUUACAGGGUGGUUGGCUAAAGGAUGGCAGUCCCUGAGCCAGGGCCUGAUGCUGGGGCAUUCAAAGUCAGUGGUAGAACUUCCACUCAGAGCUGUGCUUUAUGAGAAGCCAACUGGAGAGGAUCCAGUUUUCACACCCUGGGUAGGUCCAUGUCCUGGUUGAAAUGGAAGCUCCAUUUGCUCCUAUGCAGAGCAUCAGAAGGGAUUUGAGGGUGAACAGGUUUGACAGACAAACUGUUGGGAGGAAUAUUAGCAAUUAUUUUUUGGCCCUGGUCUUAGGUUUGUCCCUGUAUAUUAGCAGUCCUUGGAAAGUUCCCCCAAAGUCUAACAGCUGCCUUUGGCUUGGCCCCCACAUUUCUUGCAUUGGUUCAUAGUAGCCUGUAUCGUUCUACAAAUUCCUUAUUAAGUGAAUUGAAGUUCCCAUUCAUAAAGAUAUAAUUAACCAAUAAAUAUACCUGCAGAAAUUUCCAAACGUAGAUGUCUGAAGGUGAGAUCCAUGUUUAAGCUCCUAAAUACAUGGCCCAACUUUAAAAUCCCCACAUCCAUCUUCUUGCUUCAAGUGAAAUGGAAGCUUCCUACUAUUCAGUGCUCAGAUGGCUGUGGGGUACCAAAACACAGACCAAGGUGAUGUUUUGGCACACGGGUUUAUAGAGUGAUCAAAGUAGUGUGACAUCAUUGCACAACAACUGCAUCAGAUGAUAAAAUGCCAUGUACUCCCAUAUAACAUGUUGUAUGGAUGCAUACCGCUGUUCCCAUAUAUAUCCAGAACUCUUCUGGGAGGAUUUCUGGGACAACAAAUGCUUUCAGUAUUUCCUGCAGAGGAACAUGUGCCUGGGAUCUGUGUAGAUGCCAACAGCCAAAGCCUGGGAGCCCCAUUAAAAGAAAUCACCCUGAGCUGCUGCAGCAGGUGAGCCCUUGUCCACCCAUGCUUCACCAGGAGAAAACCUUUUCAGUUACAUUCCGUGGUUUUGUUCCAGUUGUGAUGUCUUCAGCUUCCCCAUUUGUCAUUUUUUAGUAAUUUAAUUAACAUUCCGAAGGAAGAAUUUUAAUAAAGGUGCUGUUUACACCGAAUGCAGCCUUGGGGAGUGAGGGAGAAUAACCCAGACUGCAGGAGUGGGGAGCAUGCUAUUUUGGAAAGCCAAGCCACAGCCUGCUGGAAGCACCCGGUUCUACUCAACCUGUCCCAGUAUCACCCACAGCCCAAACUGCCUGUUUGUGCUGGAGAUUCCUUUCCCCAGUGCUUUCAUCCCCAUCCUUCCUUGCUUAUGAAUCUUGGGUUUGGCAGCAAGAGCUUUAGGGUGGCAUUUGCACAGCGAUUCUGCAUGCACGCUCAUUCCUGUCUUCACUGAUGCUUUCACUUGAUGCAAAAUUAGGGGGUGGGAUUGGAUAAUGCCCAGAAACCAGCACUGUUGAUUACAAAGCAAACAAUUGGCAGGGAAAGGAGUGUGCAAAAAUGCGUGCCUGCAGCUUGCAGCUGCAGAGGUGGUGACCAUUGGCUAUUUUGCCACGUGCUGUGGCUGUAAAGCUACAAGCAUCCUUCCUGCGCAUGGAUGUCAAUUUGCCCCAUGAUGCUGCAGGGAUUCAUUGGAGCUACUCACUUUCCUCUGUUUACAGGCUAAAAUAUUUGCAACUUCAUGUUGUAAGGGCUUGGGCAUCUCCUAUUAGACAAGGAUAAAGCCCUUCUGGAUGCACUGGUGGGUGUUUGUAGAGACGUUGCAUUUUUGGAAAAAAAAAAAUAAUAAUUAUUAUUUCUUUUAUAUAUUUCCAGGGUGGUGUGAAGGAGAACAUCCUCCUCCAACAGUUCAUGCACAGCUUCCCACUUAUGCAUUUUUCAGAACGAAUGCAGCAAAUAUACCUGAUCAGUGCUGAUACAACUGCUUCUCCUCCCCGACAUAUUUACACUAAGAGAUUGAUGAACCACAGGAAAAGAAGAAAAUAACAGAACAAACAACUUAUCUUCCCAGAAGCUCCCUAGAAACUUAUCUGUCAUCACUGCCCAGGCUGCAGCAAGAGGGGAUUUCAGCAUGGAAGGUAUUCUCAGUGUAUGCUGUUCACUCUGAGGGAACUUUUGACACCCAAGCAUUCUUUUCAGUGUGAGAAGCGAUUACUGCUUCCCAAAGGGGAGAGCUGGAGACCUGAGCCCUCAGCUCUGCACAUGCUCCUCAACCCCAACUUGUUCUCAGGAAAAAGUACCAGGUAUUUGCCUGAUCUAACGGAAUACAUGGAAAAAAAACAAACAACAACAACCAAACCACUAUUUGGAUUUCAGUAGGACUUCAGCAUAGACGCUUUGACACUUAAGGUGAGAAAAAUGAGCUACAGAGGAAAGCAUGGGUUUCCUUUUAGCUGAGGAGGGAUGCUCCUGCAGCUCCACUGCUCCUCAUGUCUUUGUCUUUAAAACACUCAGUGACAUAAAAAUUAGACGCACGUUAAACCUCAAAUCUAGCAAAUAGCUCCAUCUCUUAAAGCAUGUGAAUACUCCUGAUACUAUUAAGAACAUUUAACCGGUACCUGAGGGACUGGGGACCUGGAGUCAGGCGACCCAGUUUCCUACAUAAGAAAAGAGAGAAAUGUCUGCCUCCUCUAAUGCCAGGGGUUAUCCUGGGCCAGGUAUCUUUAAAAAGUAAAGAUGUGAGCAAUCUCAUAUCAGACUUAUGCAUCCAAAUGGCUCAUUAUACCAGCAGUAAUAGCUUGUGAUAGUCCUAUAGAUUUACAGUACUUAGGAAGAGAUGAUGCCCAACGUCCUUUCCCAACAAUCAUUAUGACAUGGGGAAAACCAGUGAUUUUCUUUAAGUCCAUUAGCAUAAUAUUUGUGCUUAUGAGGAUUAGACCAGCAGACACUUCACAGGUCUUUAGAAACAUAAGCCCAACACAUUCAAAUGGAGACUUUUUUUGGAACAAAGCUAUUAUCUCUCAAAUCACCCAAUAUUGCUGGCCAGUUUGGGGCAGCUGGGAAGCAGCAGGUGCUUCCACCCCAUUCCCUGCCUUGCCAGCCCCAGAAUUCCCAUUUCGUGAGCAGCUCAGCGCAUGGAACAAAACACAAGGAGGGAACUUCAGAUCAAAACGUUUAUUCUUCAUUGCAGCGGAUGAAACACAGGCACGAGGCUCCUGGGGGGGAGGUGUCUGAGCAAUCACACGUAAAACGUACAGCAUUUGCACUUGAAAUACACAGACCUGAAUCACAGCUGGGAUCAAUACAGGAGGACGAUAGAGAUUAUCAAUCUUGAGUGGUCUCCGUUACACAGAAUUGACUGGCAGCCACAUAAUGGCUCGGGCUCAGCCCACCAGUUUAGAGCCCGGGUGACAGAUCUGCAGACGCCAGCCAUCAGCAUCCCUCCUUGGCCCCUCUCACGUGCCCAUUUCUUCUGCUGUCCGGGUCAGCCUCCGAGGUGCGUCUGAGAGAUCAAUGCACAGCUACAGCUGGUUGAAGGGGACCAAAUCCAUUGAACAGUUGAUUUGGUUCCAUUUUACCAGCUUUAGCAAAGCAUUUGGCCUCACGCUCUGCAAAGCAAAGAGGGGAACUCCUCAGGGCCUUUUCCUUCACAGUCGCCAGGACCUCUUCUGAACUUGCUGCCUGACGUUGCACGGGUUCACAUGGCUUCGCUUUCAGGCAUUCAGGAUUUAUUUAAGCUUCUUAGCAGCUUUGGCUGAAGAGCGAGUCUGAAUUAAAGAGGCAGUUUUAAAAGCAGUGGAACAGUCUGCAGCACUCAGUGCCUGCCUGUAGCCUUUUAAACCCGGUGUUUGGCUCUGUUUUGAAGCUGCAUUGCUACCACAGUGUGACUGAGUAGUGUCCUAAUCCAGGUCAUUUAAUUGCCACCUCCAGCCUUCUUUCUUUCAGAUCUUUUGUCUGCUAUCCCCACCCGUGCCCUGCAUUCUGGUAACUCAAGUUUUCUCAUCUACCUUUAAAAUCAGUGCUUUCCAUGGCUUUCAGAUCUGUUGAAGACAAGCAAGGACUGUAUUUACCACCAUCGGGAGGGCGUUGAGUGGAAGAGAAAGCGGAGCAGCCCUGCAGCCUCCCAGCCCCAUCCUCUGCAAGGGCUCAGCCUGCAGCUCCCGGAGAGCCCCACGCUGUGAGCACCCACUGCUCCCAAUAACUCAGUAAAUCAGAUUUUUAAAUCACAGCAGCAGGAGCCAAUAAAGCCAGACCUCUCCUUCGUAACCCAGCGCCACGCGCAGAUAUUGCACAUCGCCACGUGCGUAACCUAUUUAAAGAAUUUACAUGCAUCGCGAGGCAAAGGUGACUUUUUCCCCCCUCUCCCUCACAGCCCACCGCACACACCACGACAUGACACCGAGAAAAAAGCACCUGUGCUGAAAGGCACUGCAUGCAGAGAUAUUGCAUGUGGGCCGGUAUUGCUGGUCCCCAAGAAAUCCAGGCUUUGCAUUGUAACAGUAAGUAGUGCAGAUCACUUAACUGCCCAGCCCCAGUACUGUAAGCUGCCUAUAAAUAAAUGCGGAGAGAGAGCGAAAGAGAGAGAGAACAUCUUUUUUAAAAGAGCUCUACAAUUAAUUUAAUCGAGUUAUCUCUAGGUACCUUUUCAAGAGACAAUCAAGCCAAGGAGCUAAAUGGAAACUUAGACAGUGAGGACCUAGAAGUAUUAAACUCAUCCUUUGGUGAGUUAUAGGAGGGAGGGAAGUAAUUAUUUACCAGAGAACGGGAGGAGGUGGAAGUGCCAGCAGUGACCGAUGCUGCACCGAGACUGCAAGCUAAACCCUGACGGGCAUAUGGAUUUUGGGAGGCAGAGCAAUGAACUGCCCGAACAUCAGCAUGGCGUGCUCCAGGUGCCCUUGUCCUGUCCCCAUCCCAUUGGUUUUGGCAGGAAGGGCGUUAAAACAAGCAUCUUCUGCUGGAGAUGAGUGCUGCUCUGUUCCCCUCGCUUUGCUUCAGGGAGUGCCCCGCAGCACAUCCGAAAUCAAUGCCAGCACGCGCCGACAUUCCGUAACGUUUUGUUUGAAUUCUCUGCAGUGAGUUAUGAGUGAGGUUUUCCUUUUUAGAAAAUUAGGUUUUCUCUUCUGGAUGCCAUUAAUCACGACUAACGAUGGCUCUGGCGGCGAGGCUUUCCCAGAACUGAGGAAAAGCAUCCCCACACCUCUGCUGCAGGGCUGCAGCACAUGGGGCUCACAGCCCCCACACACCUGGGCCCGGCCAGCAGUGCAGCAAGAGGAACUGCAGAGGCUUUGCUGGAUGUGUUCAAAGGUGUGAGCUGUGCUGAAACCCAGUCAGACCAGGCUUUGGUGUCACUUACCCUUCCUAUUGCCCUCCCAGGUUCAAGGACCGGGCGACCCAGCGCCACCAAAUUUAGGUUUGCUGUCUGAAGGUCAUCCUCAUCCAGUUGUUUCCUCCCAGCAGUGCUUGGAAUUGGGUCUCACUGGGAAGGUCCUUUCUGGUCGCUCUGUCCCUAGGACCCUGCCCAUGGGACCGACACCGCCCCAGCCAGGAAUGGCCACAUAGUGGAAUGGCACUGGGGAGAUAUAGGAACACAUCUCUGAAGCAAAUCCAAGGCAAAAUAGCAAAAUAAAGCUGUGCAUCUCAUUCCCCUCUCUGCCAGUCACUGUGUAAUGCCUCGGUUUUGCUUUUGGUCUAAGUGUCAGCUUUGCAGUUCAUGAUUACACUUCUGAGAGCAGCCAGAUCCCUGUGUUAUCAAAGCACUGCCAUGGCAAGUGGGGCCAAAAGUGGGCAACAUAAGAGAACCUGGGGCAAUGAAGACCUUUGUGCUUUAGCCUCAACAUUCUAAUGAAGAUGUUUUAUAUAGACAGCACAGAAUAGCCAAAGAAUUUAUCAACAUUUGUCGAUAUUCCUAAUGAAGCAGAAGAUUCAACAUGCAAUAGAAUUAGCCUACAAGGAACCCUUGUGUAGGGCCCAUCCUUCUGAGUCCAGAAAUCUCCUGCUUAUUCCAGUCCAAUACCCUUUUGAGAAAUGAACAUCUCUUGAAAUCAUUAUCAUUAUAAGCUAAAAGGCCAAAUGAGACAAAGUACUGUUGCUCUUCAUCUGAAUAAACAAAUCAUUUUUAGAUCAAAUGCAUUAACAAUUUAUCAUGCUAAAAUCCAAUCAAAAGGAAAAAACAACAAUACAGAACAUUGAUUUCUUACAGCUUUAUCUUAAUGAAGUGCACAUUCCCUCUGUAAUUAGCUUUGGAAGGUUUUUUUCCCUUUCCUCAAGUUAAUGUGUUAUUUGAUUUCCAUCCAAAUGUCACUAAAUCUGAGGAAUUUUCCCCAAAAUGAAGUGGCUUUUGAUAAUACAGGAAAACGUCUGCUCUCUCAUUUGGCUAUUUUUCCCCCAAACAGCCAUACUUGUACUGCAGAUGAUUCAACUUUAUUGCAUGGUGUCUUUGCGAGGAUGUUUAAAUCAAUGCCACAGUUGCUGUAUUCUGCACAAUGUGCCAUUUGUAAGCCAGAAAAUACAACCUCGGUGCUUUUAUCCUUUUUCUUACAGACAUAAAAUAUUAAUUUAAUUUAUAUUAUUACAGGGGAAAAAGUGGACUGUGUUUUAUUAACAUUUCUAAAAUUAUAGGUAUUCAACCCAAAAAAUAUGCUUCAGCCAAGGCUGGGAAGUCUUCCGCUUGGAUUUUAUUUGACUUAAUUAAAAAGCACUCAGUUCCUAUGGGCACUAAAGGAGCUGCUGACAGUGCAGUAGCCACUCAGUCUUUCAAAACUAUUACCUGAACUUAAUAAAGUGUCUAUUUAGUUUAUACACCUCCAUGAUCCCACCUGUCUCCCACCAACAUGAUGCAAUUCUUGCUAAUGGCUGGAGAAGGCAGCGGGUUGAUGGCAGCCCACAGGCACCCCAGGCAGAACAAUUCCCAUAUCCUAUUGCCUGCCCUAUCUACCUUUAAUCACAGGGUCACAGAAUGGCUUGAUUUGGAAGAGACCUUUAAAGCCCAUCUGGUCCAACCCCCCGCAAUGAGCAGGGAAACCCACAGCUCCAUCAGUGCUCAGAGCCCCUCCAGCCUGACCUUGGGUGUCUCCAGGGAUGGGGCACCUCUCUGGGCAACCUGUGCCAGUGCUUCACCGCCCUCAGCAUAAAAACCUUCUUCCUCAUAUGCCAAUAUCCGAAGCGUUCAAAUCUCCACCAUGCUUGUAAUGAUCAAUGCUAGGAAAGCUUUUUCCCGGCUGCCUCUCUGCUCCUCCACUACAUAUCUCAUUUAAAUCUUUUCUUCUUUAAAUGAUGCUGAACAGAGGACUAUUGCUUUCAUCCUGCUUCACUGAGUAUUUGCUGAAAUGCAGUGGCUAAUUUGAUAGUCCGGUUUUAUUUGGACGUACUGUCGAGACAGAGAGCAAGAUCUAUAACAGAGAAUAUAACCCCAAAUCCUACCAAUUACCAGCUUAUUCCUUAGUUAUACAGGAGACCACAAGUGACCUUAUCAAAAUCUUGACUCUCAAUAUGAACAUCUUCGUCUUAAUCCAAAUUUCACCCUGGAGCUGAAGGUCCUGCUUCAUACACAGCCUAAGAACUGCGGAGCAUCCAUUGCAGCAGGGAGCCCACCCCUGGGACAGGGCUGCCCGCCGAGAGCUGCAGCUCCUGGAACUGGCAGCAGAAAUAGUUUGGAGUUUGGAUUUUUAAACUCACACACUCAAAGAGAACAAAGCUGUUCCCUAAUACACUUUGUGCAUUUUAUGGACCGAACAAUUAAAGAGGUUUUAAAACAUCUGCUGACUGCAUAAUUCCAUACAGGGGAGUGUACUCAGCAUUUUUAAACAACAACGGGUACGAGAUACCACUUAACAGUACAAAACACCAUCAGUCCCGUUAAAAUCAAUAGAAAAUUAGAUGCUAUGAAAAUGCAAUAUGUGUCCAAUUAGUUAUAAUUGGAGCAAAUGGUGAUGCAGAUAAACUCCUGGAGUAAGAUGCAUUUGUCCGGCCCGCUCCCUGCCUGCUUUCGGCACAGCACGGUAUCGGCAGUGGCAGGCUCUGCUGUGCCCCAUAGCAUGAAGGAUGAUCCCUCUAAUACACGUAUGUUAACUGUUAUCUAAUUAUGGAGCUGCUCUGAGCCUGCAGGACUGUUUCGGUGCCCCACCGUGCGCGGUGAAAAAUGAUCCUCUGUCACACGGAAACCUCCCUGUUGUACUUGACAAAUUAUGCCAGCAAACCUGUUUAAGAACUAAAAAAUCCUUGGACGCGGUGACAGGCCAAGAAAUAUGUUGUUUGGGGACAGAUAUUUAUUUAUUUAUCUGGCAGAGGUUAAGAGCCACCACUCGGUUCACUUCUCCCCUGCCUGUCUCCGUUCUGGCAGCUCAAAAUCCGUCUCACCGAUUGUUUCGCCGGUUUCUUUCAACUCAUAAAAACUCCAUUGCAAGGCAAAACAGGAACUAGGUUAUGCGAUGCCAGCGCUUUAUUUUUAACAUCUCCCCUGCAACACGUUGGCCUCCUCUUGGUUUAAUCUUACAACUAAAGGAAUAAGAGCGACGGUUCCGCACAUCCCCAACCGAGUAUUGCCGCCGGCCGCGCUGCCAACCCUCCGUGCCCUUGCAGGGUAUGGAAAUGUGAAACUACUCACGUUGCUCUCAGUACAACCCAUAUUAACUUUGGGGGGUAUUUUUUUCAUAUAUUUGUCUAUAAAGUAGAGAUUACUUUACACAAACAAUUAGCUCAGAGGUAAGAAGCUAUAACUACCGGCAGGGCUCUUAUUUUAUUCCUGUUUUCUGUUAAUAUUAUUAUUCUAAUCAGCAGUAAGGACUGGUGGGUGCAAAGAAAAGCUCCUGUUUGCCCGGCCCUGAAACCUCCUUGUGUUAUUGCUGCUGUUACUUACACGGGAAAGGGAACUGUCUCUUGAGGAAGGGAAAAAAAUGGAGGUGGCAGCUUUUAUUUGUUAAGCUGACUCAGCUGGACAGUGGAACAAGAAAUGUUCAGAUCCAAUCCAUAACUUUUGUGGCCGCUCUAAGGACGUAUUCUUCCUCGACACUGAUAAAAGUUUAAUAUGGAGUUGCCCAGGUUUUUAAUAAACUUGUCAACAAAAGAGCAAGGCAAAUUGAUGGGGACCUUCCCAGGAAUAAAUUCCACUUCAAAUAGGCCAAAUGAGUGUGGAGGACAGAGAGGGGAAGGUACACGGGCAGCUUCUGCUGUUCUUUGCAAAAAUGGCACAAUGGAUUUUAGUGGGUGCGUAUGUGUGUGCGUCUUAUUAUCUCUGAGACAAGGCUUUAGGACAAAGCUUAAAUUAAAGAACACAACCUGGUGUGGCUCAGAGCCCUGACACGGCAAGGAAGGGAAGGGACAAAGCUCCGGCACUGAUUUAGCGGUGAAGCCAUUCCCCACUAAGGAACUGCCAUCUCACCCUGCGAGUAGUGCCGCAUCUCCCAGUGCACCUGAAGGCUCCAGGCAUCUCCUACCCAGACUGUGGUCACUUUGGGACCAUCCCCAACACACUCUGCAACAACCUUUACUCAUACGCUGAGUAUCACCUGUGCCCACCCAUGCAUCACCUGCCCGCCAGCAGACCCUCUCUACUCUGACCUGUGAUGCCAACAGAGUUUUAUCCCACAUCCCCCACUACGCACAUCACAUUUCAGCUACUGCCUGCGCGUUUAUCUCCACUCAGUCAAACCAAUCCCAUUCACUGCUCAAUUUUUUUACUUCCAUACAUCAUGAGCUGCCUCCAGGCACCACACCGCCCCUUCCCAUGGCAUUGACUGCAGGCAUGGCAGGAGGGGCACACACUGCAUGCUCUGCAAGCUUGGGAUGGAAAUCUCUGCACGAGAUGCAUUAUUUUCUAUUAGCCUCCAUCAAGCUGGUGCCUUAAAUUAUUAAGCUUUGUUGUGGUGUUGGUUUGUUUUUUUUUUUAAUUUGUUGACCUGAAGUAAACACAAGUAUUAAAUCAGAUUCCAAUAAUCUCACUGACAGUAAAUUAACUCAUUGUGUCCUAGAGGGGGACGCAACCGCAUCUUGGCCACUCUGAGCAAUGCUUCACCAUCCCUGCAGAUUCCACAUGCAUGCAAUGGGGUAAAAAGCAGAAGGCCAGAUCCUGCCUCCAACCUUGGGCCAUGUCCCAGAUUGGAAGCUCUGCCUGGAUGCCGCGAUGAAAUUUAUUCCUGAUCAUUCUUAGGUCACCGGAUUCCUGCUCCGGUAGCUUUACCCGACCCCCCAAAUGCCAGGGUCGACGUGCCUAUGUAAGGGCUUUGCAGGGACGGCUCCUGCCCUCACAGCUGCUUGGGGACUUCUGCAGCCGGUGGUCACGAGCCCCUGGCUGCCCAGAUGCCACCUAAUCCGGCCCGGCAGAGGGGCAGCUGAGAAUGAGCACUAUUUAUACCAGCUGCUGCUGGUCCCGCUGGGCUGCCUGUGGCUUUUUUAGCUAGCAGCUCCCAUCCCAGCGCAGGCCAUAUCUGGACAUGGCACAGGCAGAGUGCUGUGCUUCGAGAAGAGAAGAAAGAAAAAAAAAAGAGGGAAAAAAGGAAAAGCUGCAUCUGUUUUAAGAUGUCAGGCACCCUGUUUCCAUCAAAGCAUCCUGAGCACCACCAAAACUGCUCCAACUGCUAAAAGCUUCACUAUAAACUUGCCUCUUAUUCCAAGUGUGUCUGUCCUCUGACAACCUUCCACCCGUGCACAUGGCUAUUGGCCUCUGUUCCUUCAUACAGACCUCUAUGCAAGAAAUGCAAGCUCAAAGCAAGGGUGAAUGCUGACACUGCUUACACAGUGUGAGCAGAAUCUCCUUUGGAGAAUUACAGGGUGUCAGAGGAGGCAGGCGGCUUGGAGCUCUGCCUGUUGAGGAGGCUGCACAAGACUUUGCAUUUUGGCCAUUACACACUCAGAAUGAGCUUGUUCUUGGGUAAUUGCACCAAGACCUUCUCCAGUCCUAUCCCUGCAAUGGCUUCAGCAUCUCUACAUGAGCAGCCCCCUCCCUCUGGGGGAAUGCAAGGCAGGGGAGCAGCAUAGCUGCCUGCAGCCCAGCAAGCAGGCGGUGCAAUGAGCUGCACUCGCCAUGACCCUGCAUCCCAACAGGGAAGCAUCUUGCUGCAUGAUGGCUUCAGGUCAAGAGCAACUUCAGCAGAAAGCGCUAAACUGAGCGCCUUCACUGGGAGGGAAUCGCUGAAAUCAGCGCCCGGCUUUCAGGGGAGGGAUGCGAGCUCCGGAGCGAGGAUAUUUCUCUUGCAAGGAACACACCACCCCCUCGCCCACAGCCACCGUGAAGUGCAAGAUGUGGUGAAACUCUUUAAAAAUAGAUAUAUUCCCAAGCAAUACAUGCCGCUCGCAUCUGGCAGGGCAAACCUAGCAUGGAAGCUCUUGCUUACAGACUAAAAAGCCUCGGAGCAGCUCAAGGCUCCUGCAACCUUGUCUCUCUCCUCGAUUCUUCAGAGCCCGCUCUUGUUCUUGGCCUAACCCAGUCCUGGGAAGCACAAGGGAAGCCCUGCCCAGCUAGGCUGGUGUCAAAGGCAGGGAAAGAUACUGCAGUGCAGUGCUGAUCUCUUCUGCAAUCGGACGUGCAGACUAGCCCGAAUGCUGAGUCAGCACAAUUUCUUUUUUGAUUGGUUGAUCCGAGUAACAUACUUUCAAUGUAUGCUAAAGGGGCAGCAAUUAAUAUGUUUUCCCCCCGUUCUCCACCUUUCCAAACCUCCUCAAAUCAAACACACAAAUCUCACCCCCAAAGUCACUCUCUGGUCCUAAAUAUUCUGAGGCUCUUUCAUUUUUAAUUUAGGGCAUUAAAAAAAAAAAAAUUUGCAAUCUAAGCGAUGCUCACUUUGAUCGACUUGUGCUGCAGCAGCUAAAAUAUCUGUCCUGCAGGUCAAUCUAAUCAUGCUUAAUAGCAGUUUAUUCUUCAACGCAACAUUUUUCACAUUGGGUCGACAGUUUUAAAUGAGAUUGCUGAUGCACCCCUUUACUAAUGCUUUCACCAGGGCCAGCACAUCCCUUGAAAUACUCGUGCAAUAAAAUGAAUGCUUUAUUGCUCUUGAUGAAUGCACUAUUAAACUUGAAUUGCAAAUAUGCCCCCCCCCCCCUUUUUUUUUUUUUUUUUACAAAAGAAGAGUGCUGGGAUUUAUUGGACCACCUGUCUUCCAGUAUUAAGUAAUAGCAACAAAAGUAAUAAUAGCUCAUCAACAUAAACACAUGAAAGGGAAAAAAAUAAUUCAGGGGAAAACACACAGCACGAAUUCAUCCCCGUGCUCCCAUGCGCGUGUGCAAAAUUCCCAUUCUAUACCUGCCCGUAGUUCCUCUUAUGUGCAGAAAAUUCAUCUCAAGAACGGAUGGGUUUUGUGAGGCAUAGAAUAGGAAAACGUAACUAAUUUGGUCCACUGGAUUUAUGGCUUUUACAGUCCUCAGAGCUCCCGUUUCUGCUGGUGGGACCGCUCAGUGCGCGCUUUGCGGGACGGAUGGGCACAGCCGAGCAUCGCGCCUCGCUUCAGCACAGAACCUGCAGCUCUGCUCUAUGGAGAGCGAAGGAGAAGAGGCUUUCUUCAAGCUAAGAAAUAGGGAGGACCUAGUGUGGAGGAACAGUCACAGUUUUAAUCCAAACAAGAAGAAAAGCGAGAAGGAGCUGGAGCUAAGAGUAAGAAUGGCGCAAACUGGUGGACGAUGCUAAUGACUAAAGGGCUGACGUGGUUUUGGGGUCUUUACAGCAUUUCUAUUUAUUUUUUGGCAUUGCCACACUGCACCAGAGAUGGGGUAGGGUCUCAGGAUGUGUUCUGCACCCACACACCUCCACCACGUGGCUCCCACACCGUGAGACAGAGCUGAGUUAUGGUUUUGAAAAUAUUUACAUAAAAAUAAAUCUGAACACUUAGUGACUUCCUAAAGUUAGCAAUUCCGUGUGAUUAACAAGCAUAUUAAUUCAGAGAGGGGGAAGGAGAUAAAAAUUGCAUUAGGGAUGCAGGUAUCUGUUGUAAAUCAGACCAUGAGCACCUUCGCUAGAGAUAUGCACAGUGAUGUGGAAGGCUCAGUAACACCCGCGCUGAGAAUGCAGAGAAAGAGAAGAAAACAAGAAAAAGAAAGAGCAAGACAAUGAGAGAAUGAAAGAAAAGAGAAAAAAAAAAAGAAAAUAAAGAAGAGAAAAAUAUAAGAGCGGAGUUGAAAGCAAGAAAGCAAGCUAGAAAUAAGGAGAAAAUGAGAAGCACACAAGUAGAAGACAAGGAAAGAAGGAAGGAGAGGAAAGCAGUGAGGAAAAGGGAAUCGAGAAGAGGUAGGGUAAAAGGUCACCUGGGAGAGGAGGGAAAUUGCUAUUGUGGCCAGAAUGGUGAGAAUCAUCCCCAUUUUUCACACAGCAAGUCAAGCUCCCAGCAGUGAUGUACAAGUGAGAGAAAUUGCAGCCCUGUUUGGCCAUGGGAACUCUGCUGCUCCGUCUCUAUUCAUUUCCCAGCACCUUUGUAUUUAAUUGUGGCCCCAAACUGGGGCAGGACACCCUCAGUGGCUGGGACCCAUCCCUGUCCAGGGGACAAUGCCUCUCCUCAAAGCACCUGGCAAAGCAGAGGUCCCUCCUCCCCCAAGCAGAGGUUGAGCACUCCAUGUGUGUCCACCACUUGUAUCAUCUUUCUAAAAAAAGAAAGAUUUAUAAAACUUACAGAAUUCUGUACAUUGGAAAUCUCCUUAAGAGCCCAGCCCUCCUUACUUAACCUGCUAUUCACAAGUGCCUGCUUUCCGUUAAACCCCAUUUGGUGUACGUGUAACAAGUGGCAGCAGUGCUUGCCAUGAAUCACAACAAACUGAGGCUCAGCAAAGGCCUUCAGAGCACUUUUGCCAAGCACAGAGAUGUGCUGAAACCAGAGGGAACUUGCUCCAGAGCAGAACACUGCUGUGCCCUCGGCUGCACGGCGGGGUGAUGGGGAUAAGUUUGGGAGUAGGUGGGAUGGAGAAAUGCAGUGCCUAACAGCCCAGAUAUGUGCAUCUCAUAAGCUUGAGGAAAAUGGGGGCUGAAAGCUUCACCCGCCCCUACCCAGACAGAAAGUUCUGAUUGUUCGCACAGAACGUUACACCCAUUUGUAUCAUUGCAUCUCACUGCCGUGGGAUGCUGGGAGAAUAACCAGGUGUUUUACGAUGAGAAAGGUUAAAAAGGAAAACCAGAACACCAGGAAAGCUUCUCAAAUUCAAGGUGCUAUUUUCCUUAUUUCCCUCUAAUAACCCUCUAAUAACACACACUGGGAGCGCUCACUGCCUCUGGCUGGGAGCUGGGCACCCACUGGCCAUGUCCAAGGGCCAACACACGCACAGUGAACAUUGCUUCCUCUCCAGCAUUAAGCACAAAAAGUUUUAACACAGGAAACAUCCCAAAAGCUGUCUGCGUAUUUACGUGAAGCCAAAAUACUGCACCUCCAAGUCACAACUCCUUCCCUUCUUCUCCCCGCCUCCAACUCCUUUCCUUUUCCCUAGGAUUAAGGACCAGCUCUUUUACCCAGCCUUAUUUUUGGGAAAAAGGGCCGAGGGGGAAGCAGCAAUCCGGAGGGACUGGUCUGUAUCCCCGCUGAAAACCAGGAGUGGACAGCCAGCUUUCCUCUGGCAUCGCCUUUCAAAGCCCAUGCCGCAGUCAGCAUAUUGAAUAUUUAAUGUCCUGAUGAGCAUUUCCACCUGCUGACACAGGCAAAGUGACAGAACAAUACACGCACUGGAACAAGAUCACCAAUUGACUCCCCAGCCAGUCUGCCAUGUCAGGCAUCUCAAAAAAAAAAGACAAAAAUCUGUCUGUCUUCCUCCCCCCCCCCCCCUUCACACGGGGUCAUACAUUGCUCCUCCGAGAAGAGUUCCCACCUGAAAUACAUACUUCUUUACAUUCCAUAGAUUGCCAGGUUCAUAUGGGCAUAUAAAGAAGUAUGUCUCUCAAGCAGGUAGGUUCAAUAUGCGCAUUUAUAUGUACACGGGAGGAAAUAGGGCUGGCGUGCCAUUUACUUCCCAGGAGUGAGUUACAGCACAGUUUGAGGCAGCCCAUGUGCAAAACACACACAUGCAUGCACACACACACACACACACACACACUCACUCCCCUUGCUGGUCAUUCCGGCUCUGCCCCUGCAGGUUGCUGGGGUUUAGGGCUGGGAAGAGGCAGUGGGCAAUGCCUGGAGUGCCUGCAGCACUUUGUCAUGGAAUGGCACAGAGGAAAAGCCCCACUCCCAGCCCCCCUACAAAGAGGAUGCUUUCACUGAAAUUGCAAACUUUCAGCAAUUAAAAAGGCUUUAGUUGAAGGAAUUUGCUUUCUGUGUAUAUAUAUAUAUAUAUGCAUAUAUAUAUGUGUGUGUAUAUAGAUUUAGACAAAGCCAUGUGGGUGGAGGUUAAGUAGAUAUCAAAUCCCGAUCGCCUCCAUCCUGCAAUUUAGAAACAAGAAGCCAAUUUGCUUUCAGAAAGCCAAAAUCCAGCAUCCGGCACUGAUUUACAAAGCAACACCAGCAAGAAGUGCUCCAUCUGGCAGAGCAAGAGAACUCACCAGCUACAGACACGCCAUCGCUUCCAGCACUAAGUAGAGAUUAAGGCAUAGGAAGAAGAAAGCAUCUUACCUAAAGAAUCCAGUGAUUUUUCCUCUGCUGGUCACCGUGAGUGUGACACUACCUUGCAGCAAACAAUCCCCAAUAUACCUUGGGAGAAGGGCGGGGGAUUUCGGGGUAUUCAAAAAACGUAUAUAAAAAACAAUUCGCUUUUCACAAGUCAUCCAGCGGAGCCCCACACCUGGGGUAGACACCAGCAGAGAUGCAAACUAAAAAGCAGCCCCAGCCCCGUGCUGGUGGCUUAGGCCAAAAAAGUCUUUCGGAGUUGUCCCCGUGGGGCUCAUCCCCACACGCAGCCAUCAGUUCCCGUUGCCUCUGCCCUCCGCCAGCAGCCACGCUGAGCUUUAAAGCUCCGGAACAAUGUGGCUGGGCUGAAUGCAGGGCGGCAUUCCGGAGGUCACGGCGGGCGCUGCCGCUCGCUCAGCACAGCGGGUGUGCGCUCACCUGCGCCCCUCGCCCCGCCGCCGCUCGAUUGCAAUUUGCAGGCGAAAUGCACAACGCCUGCCUCGACGCUAAUGAAUUUGGCCAUUUCUCACCGGUUUCUAAUGAAGCCUUUAAAGAGGGUUUAAGUAAACUUAGCAAGUGGCAAAGUAAGCACUUUGGAAUACUUAAUUGUAUCGAUGUGUUGGGUGGUUUUUUUUUUUGUUUUGUUGGUUUUUUGUUUGUUUUUUUUCCGCUGCUUUGUGAAAUAUAUCACUGGGAGAGUGGGAGUAAAUACUUCCCUGUGCUGAUUGACUUCCACACCAUCAGGCUGCAAAGCCCCGCAGAGCCGGGGUGCAAACCCAUGGGCUCGCCCCAACCCCUCAGUGCCACGCACCACGCAGCAGAGUGGGUGUGAGCCCAGUGCUGGUUCGGCACUGUGCCCUUCCUCACUGCCACAGGGCUUCUGGCCCCACUAAAUGUCGUCAUUUGUCUCAUUUUGAGGCAAAUUUCCACCACUGGUUUGGAGUAAUGGGAAGAGAGAUGGAGCUGUGGCACCAUGAUAAUGCAUGACUGCAGUGAAAUUAAAGUGAAGGGAGAGGAGCGUGAGGGAAAGCCUGGGUGCUCCGAUUCUAAAAAGAAUUCCUCAAAAGCCCACAAAGAACUGAGUUCAGGUGGGUUUCACAUGGCCAAGUCGCUUGGCCAUGUUGAAUUCCCCUCAGACAAACACCAACAGGCCAAGCAACGGAACAGAACAGCUACUUGACGUCUUGGACCAUUGCACAUUUCACCUCACUCCCGAUUUGCUUUCCUGAAAUCCACCUGCCAUGGACUGUCCUGAACUGUCCCAAACUUCUGCAGAUGAGCAGGAGAAGGGGAUGCCAGCCAACUACAGGGAACUAAAAGACGGCACAUAAAAUCCUUACAAAUAUUGAAGACAGUGGAACAACCGCAGCAGGGAGGUUCAUCUGUUGGUUGCUCCCAGAAAGGCGGUGGAUCUAGAUUUCAAUCUGCCCGUGAGUUGUAGGGUUGGCCCUGCUGGUGGAGGAGCAGACAUGCGGCGUGGUGGUGAUUUAAUGGUGACGCCAGAGGCACUUUGUGGUCCACAUCCUACAGUGAGCACCAGGAGUAAUGGGUGGUGGGCGAGCAUCGCCCAGCAUCCUCCACACACCUCGGCUCACCCAGAGCAGAAAAAGCUGCACAAUAAAAUUGUGGUUGUUGUGGGGGGAAAAAUGCAUGGGAAUGUGGAUAGUGCAGAGUGCAAGGAGCAAAUAAAAGGGAAGGAUGGAGAUGGAGGGAUGGAGGGAGUGGGAAGGAUGGAAGCAUGAUGCUGUACACCUGCUCCCUCUAUCCCAUUCUGGAGGAGCUCCUCCAGUCCCGGUGGCAAAGUCAGGCUGUGGCUGUGCAGUGCAAAACUUCAGGGACUUGGAGGCAGCCUGGUUUGGGGCUGGGCACAGCCAAGGAAAGCCAGCAGGGCCGAGCUGCAGGGAAUGGACCAGGCUCAGUCCUUUGGGGCGGCAGCAUGGCCACCCGCACCAGGGAACCAGCAAUUAAACUGCCAGCCAGAUCACAGGGCUCUGCCUCCACAAUUACACACGACUGCUGAGUGCACACUCUCUCCAGCACAGACAUAUGCAAAUAGCCAUACUCCAAGCACAGACUGAAGGUGCAUUGAAUUGGGAUCAUGUGCUACACCUGUUUAUAAUAGCAUUUAAUAUCUCUGUAUAAAGCCGUGUAAAAUAUACAUAUGCAUGCUAUAAAAGAUAUCCCAGUUUGUGUGCAUGCGUGUAUAUAACACAGUACCCCUCACACAAUACCAAUGCAUAUACAUUUAUGUGAUCAGGUAUCACCACUAUCAUAUAAAAUAUAAUGACCACAGCUAACUCUCAGCUGCAAAAGCAAUAACAGCCGAUUGAUGGAUGAAGUGUAACCUGAAUUCAAACCCCUUGCAGGGAAAACCUAACUUCUCCUUGCAUCUCCUUUCUGAUUGCCCACAAGCCAUGCGUCCGCAAUUAACGCUCAGUUCUCGGCAUUGGAACAGUUAAUCACCGCAGCACUGAGAUCACUGCAAGUUAGGCUAAGUUUAACCACAUUUCACCCUUUUGCUCUGUUUGGUAUUAGCUCAGAGCCACUAGUUUGGUGCAAAUAAAUAAAUGAAGCCCCAAUCCCCCUAGGUGUCAUUAGCCAGCCUGGCUCUGAAUUAGGCAUUUAAAGGCCAGUUUAACCUUGCAGAACGGCUGCAUGUCAAAGUUCUAACAUUUCAGUUCAGAUUAUUAUAGUGCACUGCUUGCUCUGCAGUUUGUUCCUUUUUUUUUUCCCCCCCUUUAAAUGCAGAGUAUGCCACAGCAGAACAACAACAACAAAAAAGAAUAAAGGUGGGGGGAAGGUCUCCCAACUCAUCCAUGGAUUAGAGGCAGCCGGCACAUCCCCACACAGACACACACACACGCAGCACACACACAUUUGCCGGAUGCAAAAGCAGACAUUUAAGUCCCCGGGUAAGUUGGAUGGGCACUCAGUCCUGCAUCGGUCAGAAAAGUGUUUAAAAACGAGCUGAGCUAGUGCAGUUAGAGGGAAGAAAGGGAGCAGAAGAGGGGAAGGAAAAAAAGAGACAUACCAGUUAGGAGCUUCUGUUGCAGCAGAGGACUCACCAGAGCACUAGCUGAAAGCUGAAUCAGCUUUCGAGAGUUAGGGAUGCAUAGAGGAGGGUCAUGGAAUCACAAGGUAAUAAUGCGCUUCAUGCUGCAGCCGUCAGCCUUCUCCUUAUAGCCAAUCUCUAAUGCAGGAAGGGAAAAAGAGAGCAGGCCCAGUGAUGGUAUUAGUCCUCACUUGGAGGAAAAAAAAAAAAAAAUUAAAAAAAAAAAUCAUCAGGCAAACCUCCCCCCCACCCUUACCUCACCCCCUCCGCCCAGCACCACUACAACUCCAUCCCUGCUGCUGCAUCGCGGCUGGGCGGUGGGGGGAGGAAGGCGGCAGGCAGCGCGGUACAGCGGAGGCUGAGCAGCGGAGGCUGAGCGGGGGGAGCGGGGCUCCGGGGAGCGCCGGCGGCGGCUGGCGAGGCGGGGGUUAAGGAGAAGGGACCCAACCCGCCCGGAUUGCAGCACACCUGGGUGCGAAAUGGGGCUGUCCCCUCUCUAGAUCCCCUCCUUCCCAAGGGUCAGCCCUGGGUUGGGGUCAGCCGCCGGGAGGGGUACGCACACACGCACCCAGGGGGGAGAACGAGGGGGGCAAGCGCUGGUCAGGAAGCGGGUCCACCUUUCCAGUGCUUAUAUACCCAGCGAAGCAUCCGAAACACGCACCACCGGGCGAGCGGCCCCUGCUCGUGCUCUUUCCUCCC